rnacentral:lncRNA from 1 species
AACAAAAAAUUCUUAUCCUCACACACAAGUACACACGAUUAUUCCACUAUACUAAUGAGUGGUUCCAAAAUUUAUUUUGACCACAACAUUUUUUUAGUGUAUUUAAAAAAAAAAAAAAAGAAAGAAAUGACCACAACAUUUUUUUAGUGUAUUUAAAAAAAAAAAAAAAGAAAGAAAGAUAAAACGACCCCAAUACUUUGAUGAUUCUGUCGAUGAGCAAUAUGCUUUAAUGUGUUAUGCUUAAUACAUUUUCUUUCACUCUCCAUAUGAAAAAGAGUUUGUACCAAAGAGGGUCUAAAUGAAAGCAAAUAGAAACCACAGGGACACAAACGGAAAUUACAACAAAAGCGGAACAGAAAAAAAGGGUUUCGAGUGGUAACAUGAACAGAACUCAACACACGCACACACAAGUGUUGGAGGCCGCGUAUAAUAUAUAAGUGCACCAAAGACCAAACUUUAGUCCCUUCCCUUUUAACUCCACGGCGCAGAUCCGAGGAGUUUGGUAACCCUAGCAACUAUUUUCUCUUAAAUCAAUCUUCUCCUUCUCUUUGAAAAAAAAAAGAAAACCAACUCUUUCUCUCCAUUUUAAUCACCAUCAUCAAAGCUUUGCAGGUCACUCUUUUUUUCUUCGAUUUAUUUGCUGUUUUAUAUUGUUUGAUAAUUUGUCAAAGAUUGAUGCUUUACCUUUUUUUUCCAGAUGUUUAUGUAUGUCGGUCUGUGUGAAAGUUGUUUUUUUGAUGGAAAUAUUUCUGGGUUUGGUGGAUUUUUGUUUUUGGGGGGUUGAUUUGACGUUGGCGUAGGGUUUUGUAUGUUUUCGGAUCUGGGUUUGUUUUUAUUGUGUCUAUACGCCUUGAUGAUCUGGAGAUUGAUUUGGUUUGCUGAUUCUUUGUGCUCAUUCAGGUUGUGUAUGUUAUUGAUUGAGCAUGCUAUAAAAGAUUCGUCUUGAUUUGGGCUUAUAUUUUGUAUCAGAUGGAGCAUGAGACUCAUGUUUUCUUCUUAUGAUUUUUCUUUAUUACUGUUCUAUCAGAAACCAAUCUAGGAGUGAAGUAAGAUUUUUUAGAUGCUAAGUAGAUUUAGAAUUUUAUGACGUCUAAAACUGUAUGUGACUAGUUUUGUCAGAAGAGUGAUUUUUAUAUAUUUGGCCGAAUGCAAGUUACCUGUUCAAAAAUUGUGAUGCACCAAGUGCUUGUUUUCUUCUCUUUUAUGCGUUUUUUACCAUAAUUUUGUCUUGAUGAUACUGCAAUGAUCAUUCUGUUAUAUGGCUACUCUUAAUGGCUCUGUUUGUAAUUAACUUAUUGGGACACUAAAAUAUAGUGGAUUCUAUCAGAAAUCUUUCCCUACAAGUUGGAAUGUGCUGGAUCAUUGUUAUUUGGCAUUCACUCAUUUAUAUCUAUUAGUUGCACUCUCCUGUUUCCUUUGAUUUUGGUAAUUCGGAGAAACAAUGAUUUAAGUAAUGAAUGUAGUUUUAUUUUGAGAGCUAUUUGCUGGUCUUAAGUUCUUUAAUUCUUGCUGAACUUUGGGGGAGUGGGGAAAGCACUGUCUGGUGAUCAUACCAGAUGGCUGGCUGCCUGUUAGCAAAUCUUCUCCAAACACUAAUACAGAAGAUAAUGCUUGUAGUCCUCUUUGUUUGGUUUGCAAGUUUGGCUCUUCUGUUAAAUUGUCUUCCAGUAAGAAGUGAUUUUAUCUGGUUGACUGAGUGAUAUAGAUAUCCUUCCUGCCUUGGAAUGAGUUGACUUGCGCAAUAUCACAAUUCAUGACUUGUGAUUUGAGUAUUUUAUUCAGACUUUUGUCAGAUAUAUUUUAUUUCUUCACGUGCACUGGUUUGUACGUUUGUCUUAUUUUCACUUUUCAUCUAAUUUGCUUAAGGUUUUCUAUGUUCAGAUAUGGCUGGUUUGGCACCCGAAGGAUCUCAAUUUGAUGCUCGUCAGUAUGACACCAAGAUGAAUGAACUGUAAGAUUAUUUUUUAUUGUCAUUUCUGUUAAUCUUCAGCAAGAAGUGGCUCUUAGUAUAAAAUAAAACACCUUGAUCUCAGGAUUUACAUCUGUCUCAAUUAUUUUAUUGAUGCAGGCUCUCUACUGAUGGGCAAGAUUUCUUCACUUCUUAUGAUGAAGUUUAUGACAGUUUUGAUGCAAUGGGACUGCAGGAAAACCUUUUGAGGGGAAUCUAUGCUUAUGGUAUUUAAAGAGGGGCUUUACUACUAAAACAUCUUUGCCCUAUUCUUUUGUCCUUUGUUCACCUUUGUUUUACACCCUUUGUUACGUUGCACCAUCUUAUGUGUAUAAUGGUCUUGUUUAAGUGUUUUUCGUCUUGCAAGUGUACUUUUUAAUGUCAUUGCAAAUUACCUUGUGUUCCUGUUCUUCUGUUUUACCUAUUGGGAAGAUGGAAUGGUUAAUGUGUCCUUAUUUUAUUUGCAGGGUUUGAGAAGCCUUCUGCUAUUCAGCAAAGGGGAAUUGUUCCCUUCUGCAAGGGACUUGACGUCAUUCAGCAGGCUCAGUCUGGAACUGGGAAAACAGCAACUUUCUGCUCUGGAAUUUUGCAGCAACUUGAUUAUGGUCUUGUCCAAUGUCAGGCCCUGGUGUUGGCACCCACUAGGGAACUAGCUCAACAAAUUGAGAAAGUAAUGAGGGCACUUGGUGAUUAUCUUGGUGUUAAGGUUCAUGCUUGUGUCGGUGGGACAAGUGUUCGCGAGGAUCAGCGCAUUCUUCAAGCUGGUGUUCAUGUUGUUGUUGGCACUCCUGGUCGUGUGUUUGACAUGCUGCGCCGACAGUCUUUACGCCCUGAUUACAUUAAGAUGUUUGUACUGGAUGAGGCUGAUGAAAUGCUUUCCCGUGGUUUUAAGGAUCAGGUUUGUUAUUGUAUAUAUAUUGAUUGCACUUCUUUGCUUGGUUACCAUGUCUUGAUAGUUCCCAAUGGAGUUCUUUUAUGCGAUUUACUAAUUACUGUUUUCUGGUUGUCAGAUCUAUGAUAUUUUCCAGCUGCUUCCAGCUAAAGUUCAGGUGGGGGUUUUCUCUGCUACAAUGCCUCCUGAGGCCUUGGAGAUUACAAGGAAGUUUAUGAACAAGCCUGUGAGAAUCUUGGUUAAACGUGAUGAACUCACCCUUGAGGGUAUCAAGCAGUUUUAUGUCAAUGUUGAGAAGGAAGAAUGGAAGCUUGAAACACUCUGUGAUCUUUAUGAGACUCUGGCCAUAACCCAGAGUGUCAUCUUUGUGAACACUCGGCGAAAGGUCGACUGGCUUACUGACAAGAUGCGAAGCCGUGACCAUACAGUCUCUGCCACUCAUGGGGACAUGGAUCAGAACACCCGAGAUAUCAUUAUGCGUGAAUUUCGCUCUGGUUCUUCUCGUGUUCUCAUCACCACUGAUCUGUUGGCUCGUGGUAUUGAUGUGCAGCAAGUUUCACUUGUCAUAAAUUAUGAUCUGCCGACUCAACCAGAAAACUACCUUCACCGUAUUGGACGAAGUGGUCGAUUUGGAAGAAAGGGUGUUGCCAUUAAUUUUGUGACAAGGGAUGAUGAGAGAAUGCUUUUUGAUAUUCAAAAGUUCUAUAACGUGGUCAUUGAGGAGCUGCCUUCAAAUGUUGCUGACCUUCUUUGAGGAGGUUCUGUUUUUUGUAAGUUUGUCGAGGCAAGAAGGGGUUUCCUGAUUUUGCAAGUACUAUUUAAUGAAGGUUCAUGCUUGUGUCGGUGGGACAAGUGUUCGCGAGGAUCAGCGCAUUCUUCAAGCUGGUGUUCAUGUUGUUGUUGGCACUCCUGGUCGUGUGUUUGACAUGCUGCGCCGACAGUCUUUACGCCCUGAUUACAUUAAGAUGUUUGUACUGGAUGAGGCUGAUGAAAUGCUUUCCCGUGGUUUUAAGGAUCAGGUUUGUUAUUGUAUAUAUAUUGAUUGCACUUCUUUGCUUGGUUACCAUGUCUUGAUAGUUCCCAAUGGAGUUCUUUUAUGCGAUUUACUAAUUACUGUUUUCUGGUUGUCAGAUCUAUGAUAUUUUCCAGCUGCUUCCAGCUAAAGUUCAGGUGGGGGUUUUCUCUGCUACAAUGCCUCCUGAGGCCUUGGAGAUUACAAGGAAGUUUAUGAACAAGCCUGUGAGAAUCUUGGUUAAACGUGAUGAACUCACCCUUGAGGGUAUCAAGCAGUUUUAUGUCAAUGUUGAGAAGGAAGAAUGGAAGCUUGAAACACUCUGUGAUCUUUAUGAGACUCUGGCCAUAACCCAGAGUGUCAUCUUUGUGAACACUCGGCGAAAGGUCGACUGGCUUACUGACAAGAUGCGAAGCCGUGACCAUACAGUCUCUGCCACUCAUGGGGACAUGGAUCAGAACACCCGAGAUAUCAUUAUGCGUGAAUUUCGCUCUGGUUCUUCUCGUGUUCUCAUCACCACUGAUCUGUUGGCUCGUGGUAUUGAUGUGCAGCAAGUUUCACUUGUCAUAAAUUAUGAUCUGCCGACUCAACCAGAAAACUACCUUCACCGUAUUGGACGAAGUGGUCGAUUUGGAAGAAAGGGUGUUGCCAUUAAUUUUGUGACAAGGGAUGAUGAGAGAAUGCUUUUUGAUAUUCAAAAGUUCUAUAACGUGGUCAUUGAGGAGCUGCCUUCAAAUGUUGCUGACCUUCUUUGAGGAGGUUCUGUUUUUUGUAAGUUUGUCGAGGCAAGAAGGGGUUUCCUGAUUUUGCAAGUACUAUUUAAUGUGGUGGAUAUUUUCUCCCCUUUUUUUUUUUUUUUUUGGUUUCUUCUUCCUUUCCGUCUAGUGUCUUAAAUUAAUGUUGUUCUCAAACAUAUCCGACCAUUUAAUCAUAUGGGUCAUGCACAUUUGCAAGCUGCACUGUGGUGGGUUUAUAAUUAUUGAAAUUUUUGUUGCUGUUAGGUCUUUGUAUUUUAUGUCCUUUUGUUAUAAAUUUUAUUUCUAUUAUAAUUGUUUAGCAGAAGCCGGUUAUUAGAUUUAUCAUCAAAGGCUUAUAUACUUGGUGUGUCUGGGGAAAUGAUUUGGGUGGUGUUUUAAUAUUCUUUGCAUUGUUUUUGUUUGGCAAAAUGUUUUUUUCCCAAUUUUUGUUGAGCAAGAUUGAAUCCUGAAUUUUCUUUUUGAGAAAUACGGAAUCUGCUUUAAUACACGUUUCCGAGAGGUUCUAAUGUUCUAUUAUCUUGACGCCUGAAAUAAUUUUUUGUUUACUCGUGCUUGGAAUUUUGAAACAUGGCAUGAUGAGUCUUCAGGCCCCUUUUUGGAGCAGCCACAGCACGAGCAGCAAGAGAGUACAAGACUGGCCAAAAUGAAAAGGACGCUUCAAGACGACGUACGUUUACAUUUGAAAUUAUUGAAGUUUUAUUGUAGAAUGAUUUUAUUGGCCGUCUUCGAAGUGAUCACGUCAUGUUUCCAUGUUUUGAAAGAAGAAGAUAGUCCAAUCUUGCGCACAGCGCACUGAUGAUACUUAUUAGAAUCAUGCCAUAUUUUCAACUCUGUUGGGGUCCAUAGUUGUCAAAUCUAAUAAUUUGGAGUCGUCUCGUCUCGUCUCAUCUCAUGGGCCGGGACCAUGGUUUAACCAAUCACCAUUGAAUGUUGAUUCCCGCUGGUCAAAAUUCUAUCACCACAGCUGAUGACCAGCUGAUGAGCCUUUCAAGAUAAUGACUUUCACGAGUUUCUCGCAAACUCACUUUUAAAUGGACAGAUUGAUGCUUUUAAGUAAGGUUUAGAAGUCUUUGAUUGCCAAUAACACAGCAAAGACGUAAUUUUAAAUCUUAAAAAACACUCUAUUGUACCAUAUAAUAUUGGACAACAAAUUAGGCCAUGCUUGAUGUUAAGGCCUUUUGAUCAAUCAAUUUUAACAACGCAUGCAUAACAAGCAAGCCUGCCACAGAACUACCCGGUCCACCUGGCAAAUCUCAUUUAAGAUGAGGCAAAACUAGUAGCUGCAUCAGCCUCGUGCAGACUGGAUUGUGUGAAUCAAAGUUGAAAAUGUCAAAACUCCUUAAAUUCCACCAAAGAAAAAGUACUCUGUAUGAAUAGUUAAAAAGGCUCAAGACACCCACCUUGUGAUGCUCCCAACAAAUCUUAAAUAUUGCAAGCAAAAGUUCACAACACAACACCACCGCCACCUUUACUAAGUGAUUUCAAAUCUCCAUUUUUCUCCUCUAUUCUCUCACUCAUUCUUGAAUCUCUUUCUUUUCUUGGAUUCAAAUGGAGAAUUAUAGAUCCAAAUCAUGCAAAAUUGAUAGCUUUUAUGAUGGCAAGGCAACAGCGCCGACAAGCAUGCAGGAUUUGCGAUGUUUCAGUGCAAGUUAUGCCACCCCAACACAGCCAAACGAUCAACAGCUAGGAAAGAAGAGUAAGUUGAAGAAAAGCAAAAGCACUUUUGGGUCAGCAUCAAAGAGCUGGAGCUUCAAUGAUCCUGAGCUGCAGAGGAAAAAGAGAGUUGCCAGUUACAAAGUCUACACCGUUGAAGGCAAAAUGAAAGGGUCUCUGAGGAAAAGCUUAAAGUGGGUCAAGAACACAUACACUCAAAUUGUCCAUGGAUGGCAAUGAUCAAAUGGUGAAAUGGGUAUCUCUUUCCUUUUUUCUUCCACUUUUUCUGAUCUCAGUUUCACAUAAAAGUUACAUGUGUCUGAGUUAUGUUACAAUAUUAUAACUUUAUUUUUUUAUUUUUCGUCUUUAUGUUCUUUGGGAUCUGAAGAGUCAAAUGUAUGCAGCUUAGACUUGGAUUUAGCAUAUUCUGUGCCUCAAUUAUAUAAAGCCAGAGUGUUCAAGAUCUAUGAUAGUUAUGGCGUAACUAGAAGAAAGUGUUGACAGAUUUGUGCUUGAUCCAAGUUCUGCUCAUGCAAGAACACGUCUUUUGUAUUUUUGGUGUGAUAUGAGCUUAAAGAAAUUUUUACUCAAAAUCUCACAGUAGGACUAUUUUGACUUUGCAACUAUUUAUAAUUUUAUAUAGGGUAGUGGGGAAUUGAAUAAGUUGGCUGUGAAAAUUAUUGAUUGGGAUUGCAGCAAAAAAUUUUGUAGAAUCAGUUUAUGACGCUUGAAGAAUAAUUUAACAAGUUUUUAAUUGGACUAAAACUGUUAAACGAAGACUUUUAGGUUGGUCAAAGAAAUUUUGUAGAAUCAGUCUGUCAUAUAACUGUACAUAUGACAGAACAUGGCACAUAGACAUUGAUGGAUUCAGAUUUCUUCCAAGUUCCAUCCAAUGUUCACCAAGAAAGCCAAAUGUAUGUUGUCCACGACAACACAAGAAAGCUGCCUACUAUACCUAAAGCUUCAGUCUUCUUGCAUGGAUAUAAUCCCAAGUAAAAUAGUGCACAAAUAUAAACAAAAACCUUCUUAAUUCUGAUAAGAACUGGGAUCCAAAUCAUAAAUCUCUUGCACUGCCUGGGAGAGAAUUCAAAAUUCAAAGCAUUAGUUCAUGUAACAAGCAAACGCUGCGGAAAACUUUGUCAAUACAGAAUCACUUUCUGAAAUCAGUUUGCUACCAGGCCUUUGGCAGUGUUACCUGGAAGGUAAAUCGAUUUCAAAAGCUCAACCAGACGGUCAAGGUUUUGAUACGGUACCAAGAUUUGAGUUUUGACAAAUAACGUAACGUACAAGUUAUGAGCCCAGGUUCAAAACUUUAGGAUCUUCUGUGCACCAAACUUUAAAUAAAACGUAAAAGUUUUUCAUCCCCCGGUGUGAGAAAUGAGAUUCUCGUAUCUGUACUAACAUCCACAACAAGCAUAACACAGCUUCUAUAGUAACCAAACCCCAUGCAAGAUUGACAAGAAGCCCGGGUUAAGCUUUCUUUCAAGAAAUAGAAAUUAUGCAGAGAACAUCAAUUCAAGUUUCUAGAGACUCAGAGAUUUUGUCUGCAAAAAUAAGUAGUUAUAGCACAACAAAAGAGAGAUACUUACAAAUAGAAGGUCUGGCCUUUCUUGUUAUCAUGAUUGAUCAUGACAAUUGCCUGGUCAAAAUUUUACAAGUCACUAUAUGGUCUUCAGCUACAAACACAGUUGCAAUUGACAUACAGGACACGGAACUUUUGACACUAGUAGUAGUGACAGUGUCAUUUAACUCAAACUGUAAACUUGGUAGCAGCCUUAAUUAAACCUAGGUAUUUAGACAAAAGCAUUUGACCUAGGUGGUUUUCUUUGAUUACCUCUUCUUUAUUGAGUACUUACAGUGCUAAUUUCCAUCUUGCACUUUGCACUAUGACUCCCUAAAACACAUUCCACAAACAACACGAUGCUCCACUCCAUAGGAGUGAUAAAGUGUAGCAUUACAGAAUUUACAGUGGAAGAGAUUUGGAAUCUGCUAAUGGUGUACCCUUUCAUUGUUAUUGAAAUGCAGGCUCUCGAUGCCUCUAAGAGUGGACUCAAAGUUCUUGAUGUUUGAUGUGCUCCUGCCAGAAGUUGUAUGCCGGUUUUCUGAUGAUACAACAGGUGAACUUCUUUGCCCACUAGAAAUCUUUUGAAAUGCUCCUGGGCUUGCAUCUGUGGUGCGAGGACGGGAGGGAUCAGUGUCACUCCCAACCACAGCUGCUUCACGACUGUUAGGUACAGCAACUCGCCUUGAUGAUCCACUUGAUCGCAAUAGGUUAUAACUAGACAUCUGCACAAGUCCAAGAAUGAGAAUAGUCCAAUUCGGAGAGGAGAACAAAGAGAUGAAAAUAAAGGACGGGAAAAAAAAGUCUAAUAUGAGCAGCAGCACCCGGGUUGAUUUGCAUGAGUUUGAAUUCAGAAAGACACAUUCACAUUCACCAAUUAUCCAGAAAAAAGUUGGGAAAACACUAUAACAGGUUCAGGAGGCAUGACAUAUGCAUUUAGGUUAAAGCUAGAAUCCCAAUUCUCGCAUGGAAACAGACCAAGUAAGAAGAACAUAACAAGGAAAUUCUAUCAUCAAAAGUACUAACCAUGGCAUCUUUAGAAAAUGCUGGAUCAUUUGCCAUUGGACUCUUUUGUUUGGACAAGUUUGCAGAAUUUCCAAGUGGUCCAGAAUUCCUCCUGCGAGAGGGAUCUGCUGAUGACCAACCAGUAUGUCUACCUUCUUCAGCACCUGCAGUCGAAAUUCACGCAACAUUAUACACAAAGUCGUAACACAUUUACAAUACAGUUUAGAAGGGAAGAUCCAGGAAUAAAACAAAAGCAGGAAGAAGAAAGAAGCAUAACUAACCCGAUUGCCUAUCAACAUUAGCAGCAGCAGGAGGCAUGCCACUACUUGGUCCAGCUCCAGGACCCUAUAUAAGAAAAUUAAAAUAUAUAAACAAUCAUUGAUUUUCUACAGGGCUGGAAGUGCAAGCAAAUAUAGAUAACUAUGAUAUUUCAACUUACAAUUGCACGGGCAGGAGUAGAAACUUGUGACUGCUGAUACUUCAAAAUUGUCCAAUCAAACACAUAAUCAAACUGGAAACCUGAAGCGAGAAGGUAAACAUACAAAUUGAAAAUGUGAUACAGUUGAUUCAUUAAAGACAAAUUUGAAAUUCCUUGGAGAACCAACUGUCAUAAUUCUCAGGCUAGUAUACCAUCUUAAAACAACAUAACAAAUGGCAAAGUUCAAACCUUCACGUAUAAAAAGGUCACGGAAGAGUCUUUUCAAAUAAGCAUAAUCUGGUUUAUCAUCAAAUCGCAGUGACCGGCAGUAAUGAAAAUAGGAUGCAAAUUCUGUAGGAUAACCUCGACAUAAGGCCUGACAAGCAGUGAUAUACCAAUGAGUUUUGAAAGCUGAAAACAGAACAUUAGAAUGAAGAUAGUAUUUCAUUCUAAGACAUGAGAUUACCUCAAUUGAAGUUGACACUUUCUUCUCACUGAUCUUCUCAUACUUCUGCUUCUUAGUUCCUGCUUUCAAUCCUUGCCAUGGAAGACUACAGAGACAUAGGUUCAAAACCAUAAAAAUACCAAGCAACUACAAAAUUAAUCUGAGAACACAAAGGUCAGCAGGAGUAUUGACCUUCCUCUUAAAAAAUACAUAAGAACAUAUCCAAGCGAUUCCAAAUCGUCCCUGCGGCUUUGUUCUGUGAAGAAAAAGAUUUGACAAUCAGUUGCCAGAUGCAAACAUAAGGUAAAAAAGAAAAUGGGAUGCAAUAGACAUACCAAUGCCAAGGUGAGUAUUCAUGCUCGCAUAUCUUGCGGUUCCAGUCAAAUUCUUAUUCUCUCUGCAGCAUACAAAUCAUGUCGCCGUUCAGUAAGUAACAGUUUCUUGAAAGGAAUCUAAACUUUUAAUGCAGCUUUAACACAAUAAAGGGUGCCCCUUCAACCAUUAAAACUGCAAGAAUUCAUCUGCUGAAAUAGUGGGUAAAAAAGACUAACCUAUAAGGUAUAUGCUGAUGUGUUGCAGUGUCUCUAUACCUCUUAGCCAAGCCAAAGUCAAUGAUAUAGACCUGUUUCCAAGAAAACAUCCAUAGAAACACAUCAAAAUAGAAGACAAAAACAAAGAUCGCAAUAAAACGGAGUUUCGUAUCACUCAAGACCUGAUUUGCACGCCUCCCUAAACCCAUUAGGAAGUUAUCUGGCUUGAUAUCCCGAUGUAGAAAUGACUUAGAAUGAACAAAUUCGACUCUAUUGAUCUGAAAGAACAAGAGAGUUGUCAGAAUAUAACCAAAUGCAAAGAAAAAAAAUAUAGCAAAAACACGCAUAAACCGAACAAAUAGUACCAUCUGAUCUGCGAGCAUAAGGACAGUCUUCAGCGACAGUUUCCUACUGCAGAAGUUAAAUAAAUCUUCAAGGCUAGGCCCCAACAAAUCUAUUACGAGGACAUUAUAGUCACCUUCAACACCAAACCAUCUCAGAUUUGGAAUUCCAGCUGCCAUUGAUGGCAACAGUAGGUAACAAGCAGUGAAAUCAAGCUAAUCAGUACACGAUGCAACUUUAAAAAGAAAAUGAAAGUAAAUGUAACAAGGACAAAAGGAAAGGUAACUACUUCCGCCUUGUAAUAUUUUAUACAACUUCGCUUCAUACUGCAGCUGAGGGUGCUUUGUUUUAACAUUCUCCUAUGAAAGAAAAUACUAUCAGACUUAAUGAAUUUGGGAACAAGCAAUAUCAUCAAGAAGGAAAAAUACUAGAACAGAAAGAAAACUAAUACAGUUAAAUCGGAUAACAAAACAAAGAAGAAGAGAUAGUGAAAAUUUUAUUUAUCAACAAUGAAGUUCUGCAAGCGCAAACUGCCUUCAACAUUUGAACCCAAAGAAAAAGAGAGUAUAAUCAUUGAAGUCACUGUUAGGACAUGGUAGGUGAAUCUCUCAACUAAAUCUCAUAAGAUACAUAACAGAUUAUUGUUGACAAGUGUGACUACCACGCUGGCUUAACUUUACACAAAACCUGGAUUAAUCUUGCAUCAAUUUUAACUUAAGAAAACUCCAAAAUAAGCAAAGGUCAUUGGCAGAACUAAAAAACCCCUUUUUCCGCCCUCAAAGGAUUGCGGUAACAAAUUAAAGCAAGCUUAAAUUUCAUUCUCAAUCUCUUAAAGCAAGCUUAUAUUUUCCUAAUAAAUAAUCAUUCAUCAACUCACUCUCACUCACUCACUAUCGCAUUCUUAGUCCAUCAUUCAACAAAAAAAAAAAAACAAUAUUUACCCUUAAAACCCAAACAACAACAAAAUUAAUAACGACUAGCAAACUAACAUAACAAAAAAAAAAGGUCAAUUUUUAGCUGAAAUUCAAGCAAACAAUUACUACCAUAUAAUUUCUUACAAAAUACACAAAUUCAAUACACUCACAAGCUUAAUUGCAACUUCCUCAUUAGUCUGAAUAUUAGUACCUGCCCCCAAAAAAAAAUUAAUUAACAAGGGGAAAAAAAGCAAUUAGCGGUAAAAAAAUACUAAACUAGUGAAAAAUACAAACCUAGAUAGAUCUCUCCAAAGGACCCGCUACCGAUCUUUCGACCCAACCGAAACUUGUUUCCAACGCGCGGUUCCAUAAUUAAAACAAAAAAUUUAAAAAAAAAAUUGAAAACCCCAGAAAAACUAAAACCCAAAACAAAAAGGCAAAAGCUUUUGUACAAAAUCCGAUCGUACAAAACGAACUGAGAAUUUCGAUCACCGAAUUGGAGAAGCCCAAAUGAAGAUCGGAGGUAAAAGAGAGUUUGGGGACAUGGGCGGAAUUAAAAAGAAAACUUUCUCUCUCUGACUAGAGAGAGAGAGAGAGAGAUGAGAAAGCAUUCGUUGUUUGGUGGUGGUGUCGUUGAAGUUAGAUUGUGGGCUUUUUGCCGCUUUGAUCCAAUCGAAGACUAAAGGGCUGUGAUUGUCUUUUCUUUAUGAAACGACGGCGUUUAGGCUUUCUACCGCCCGGAUAACGCUGAGCUUUUGGGAUAUUCCCCCUUGAGGGUUUCCUCACAUAUUGGCUAUUACUUUUGUCUUCAUUGACCGUUUAUUAGGUGUUAACUAAAUUGAAUACGAAGUUUCACCCAACAGAUAUAUCUCUUUGCCUUGCAUAUUGUUAAGAUCAGAAUCAUAUGAUAUUACCAACACAUAUAGUUGGUUAAACCUAAUGGAAUUGUCGGCUAAUAUCACCAGCGUCAUGUAAACAAUUUUGAAAAAAACGUUGCAUCAAGAUUCAAGGCAACGACCAAAACCCAAUAACAUCAUUGGGUGUUGGACUGGAAGGAACUUUGGUUUGGUAGUCUCCAUUACUUUUAAGAGAUUAUAUUUGAAACAAUCUGAGGACUUCGAGAAUUCUCAGUAAAUGCUUUGUUUUGACCUCCAUUUUGAUAUAGAAAUGGUCCGGGGUUGAGCUGUUGAAGUUUUGAAGACCAGAGCAGAUGGCAAAUAUAAACUCUCUUCACAAGCUGUAACUAUCUCAUCAGUCAAUAUAAAUAGUGUUACACUUACAUACAAAGACAUCAGCUCCAUGGCCUUUUGUUGUGCAAUGCAUAAGCUUUGACCAACCCCGCGUGAACAGAUAAUAAACAAUAUUAAGAAAAUGAAUUGGAGAGGGGCGGCGAGGUAAAACUGUAAACGGCCAAAAACCCUAGAGACUUUUGCUAAAGGAAAUUGAAAAAUCAUAGGCAUUGUUAUGAUGGGGACAAUACAUUUUGCAAAGCUAAAGAGGAGGUCUUCCUAUGUAAUCUUACUUUCAACUGUCUCAUUUUUGCCUCCACCCUUGCUGUGAACCCAAUCUUGGUUUCUUGCCUUGCCUUCGAUCUUUCCCUAGUCCACAUGUGUCGAUCCUCAACAUCUUUCUUGUAGUACUUGAUUUCUUGAAUAACAUGAUGAUCCAUGGGUUUGAAACAUCUUUGAUAGGCUACGUAGGUGAAGUAAAGGAGAUUACAAGCAACAGUUACCACUAUGGUGGCUAACCAAAACAUCGGUGCAGGAGCAAGGGCUUCAACGAGAAUAUGGUGCGCAUACCCAGAUGUAGAGGGAGACGUCAUUCCGAAAAGUAAGAGAAACACAUACCAAGCUGCAAUGCUGCCCCAGAUAAACAAGUGUUGGAUCCAUGUGAAAUGGCUUAUUGUGAGAGCAAUCUGAACGUUAACAACCCAGAUGAUGGAAGUGAACAUUGUAGCACCCACGACGGCCAUGUCAGCAGUCUGGCCUCCAGCACGAAAAGCUUGGUCAUGGAAAAUGGCCAUAAUGAGGGUGAAAAUGGUGAUAGAGGAAUAGAUUCCAUUGCCAAUCCAACCAAAUAUUCUGUACCAAUCAAAAAACAAAUUUCUCGGCCCUUGCUGAUACAGAGCAGGGAACUGUAGAAGAUAUAAAACUGUUACAAUCUAGCCAAGAGAGAAACGGACAAAAUACUUCAAAUGGGGUUCAUCAGCGGGACGUACCUGUAAGCAGAUCUCAGAGGAAACAUCUUGUUCAAAAACCCCAAGUGAAAUGACAGGUAAUGCAGUAAGAACAACAUUAAAGGACAGCAUAUACCAGUCAUUAUAAACAGACUGCCCAGAAAAGCUCGCAAAUGCCUCGAAGUAAAAGAGGGUGAGACCGAAUGCAAUAUUUUUGUAGAAAAAAUAGCAAAUCUGAUUCCAAAACAUCAUGGUUAGAAAAAUGAAUUAGAGAUAAAGAAGACACGUGCAACGUAUAUGGAAAUAGAAAAUGCAUGAUUAUGAAACCUUAAGUUGGGAAAUCCCUUAAGUUGGGAAAUCCUUGAUUAUUACCAUCUGAGCAAUCCUCUUGUAGCACCAGUGUCCAUGGACUACCAGGAGUCUUUCCAAAAAUCGAAACUGUGCAAUAGAGAAGUCACUAGCCAUCACAGCCUACAAAAUGUUGCAAAUUUAGCAAUUUUCAGACUGCAGUCCGCAAUGUCAAAAGCAAAAACUUGGAUGCACUUUCUCAUAUCAUGUCCUCACAAGACAAUCUAGAAAAUAAUUAUGAACCUCAGACAUUAUGUCCAAGAAAUUCAAACAUUAGUGACGUCAUCAAUUAGUAUUCAAAGUACACUGGUUUCUGACAUUCCUACAGCUCCUGAAAUUUGGUUGCUGCUAUGAUAUUUAAACUGUAUGAAAAAGCAGAGUUUAGAAUUUUAAAGAAGAGAGAGAUAGAGAAACGUAAGAAAGAACCUUAUUACCGUUUCUAUAGAAUCAUCAAAACAAAAGAAAAAAAAAAAACCAAUUAGAUCAGGUGCCUACCUGCAUACCUUCCACCCCACUGAUGCCAAUACCAAUGUCAGCUUCUUGAAUCAUUCCAACAUCAUUUGCACCAUCACCAAUUGCCAAGGUGGUUUUACCAGUGCCUUCUUUCACUAACCUUGUUACCUGGUGCCAAAAGUUGAACAAAUGAAAACAAGACCUAGCAAGAAUGUAUGAAGAAGAUCUUGUCUGUUGCCUAAAUACAAGAGAAGCUAAUAACUAAAAGCAGUAAACGGCAAUUUUGGAAGAGUGAAGUAACUGAUGAGAAACAGUACCAGUGCCUUCUGCUUGGGAGACACACGACAGCAUAUGACAGAUGCGCACUCAACAGCUAAUCCCAAAAAAUGAUGCUUCAUAUCAUCCUCCAAAGCGUAGGCCAGUGUUUUUCCCUCAAUUAUUAAUGCAUAUGCUGCAUGUGGAUCUCUCUCUAGCUUGAUCAUCUGUGAUGCAUUGGUGAUUUGCAUCAAAAUGUUGUCCUUCACAGCCUGUUUAGAAACGAAACACAGCAAAGACUAACAUCAAAUGGAAUCAAUUUCCUGCAAAAUGAAAAUGAUAUACUUUUUUCUAAAAAUUAUACAUAUAGAAUUACCUCUUUGGCAGCUUUUCCUACUGAAUCUGAGUUCAAUGCUGUUAUACAUAUCUGCUUCAUGCCUUGUCGAAGCAAACUGCAUGCAAAUCUGCACCAUGCCGGAAAAUAUUUCAUUAUAUUUGUUUCAUAGUCCAGAAGAUGCCUAGUUUCAGGUAACAGAUUCUAAUAAAAUGUGUUAUAGACUAAGAAGAGCCUGAUAGUUUUAACUUAAGAAACAAACCCUAUGUUGAUUGCAGUUUCCAUCUUAUCUCCAGUCAAGACCCAGAUCUUGAGACCAGCUUGUGCAAGUUUAUCUAUGCACUGGGGCACCUAAACAAAUUAUGGAUAAAAUUAGGUUGAAACCAAACAAAAGGAGAAUAUACUGAUCAUAGCUAUAGGGCAAAGAUAAAAUAUACCCCUUUCUGCAAUUUGUCCUCCACAGCAGUAGCACCAACAAGGAUCAAGUCUUUCUCCAUCAUAUCCGACACAUGCUCAAGCGUUGCCUCUCUGUCAGCCCCAAUAGAAGAUUUGGCCUUUUGAAACUCACUGUUCCAGGCAGAAUACUCAGAUUCAUCAAGCUGUUUGUAAGCAAGUGCCAAUGUACGCAAUCCAGCUUCUCCAUAUUCAUUCAAAUGCUUUGUAGUAGCUUCUUCAUACAUUCUUCCAUUCUUUGAUAGCCGGUCAAAAAUGAUGCUGCACAUUCCAAGCAAAGGAAUCAUGCAUGGUGAGGCACAAAGACAGGGUUGCUUAAGUCAUCAAACAGUAUAGCUAACAGUGGACCAUCUGUGCACCCACCAAAAAUCAAUGAAGCAAUUUGAACACCCACAAACAGCAGAUGUAAGCUGACUGAAGAUUCUAUGCAUGUUAUCAUAUCAAUGGUCCAGGCCUCUAACUGGGAGUCAAAAAGUUAAAAAGUAAUGGCGAGGCUAACCUGUCGGCACCUUUGCAUAAGAGAAGUAUCUGCCCAUCCUCGUCCCGAACAAUCACACUCAUUCGCUUUCUUUUGCUGGUAAAAUCCAAUAGAUUGAGAAUUUUGAACUCUCUGCAAAAUUUCCAAAAGACGAACCAGUUAGACACUCAGAAUUUGAGGGAAAUUAGUAGGGGAAAAGAGUUCAUACAAGGAAAAUCCAUUCAUAUCCUCACCUUUCAACCGGUUGUCCUUUAGGAGGAUAUCUUUCACGGAUAAACACACUUGAUUGAGUCCUUCUAUAAAACUCAAAGCCAAAUUCCCUGGCAGCAACAAGAAAAGCCGCUUCAUCAGGUGACUCUGCUUCAUAUGUCAAAUUGCCAGUCUCUUCAUUCAGCUCAGGAAUAGCAGUGUGACAAAUUGCUAAAAUUCGGAAAAACAACAACAAGGUAUCUACAUUAGGUUCUUUCAACCAGUUUCCAUCCAUAAGCCGGCUAUCCUCAAAGUUAAAACCCUUUAUCCGACGCUUAAAAUCGUUUCCAUCAUUAGAAGUGAUGACAGUCUCCAAUUCGAUUUCUGAUCCACUAUUUUUAUGCUUUGCAUUGGCAAUCUCCCUAUUCUGCUCCUCAAGGUCAAUAGCCAUCUGUUUUGCUGCAGCAAGUUCAACUUCACUAGGGCUCACACCAUAUGCAGUUCCUGCAACGGAACACUUCAAAAAGUCCAUCUGAUUGCAGGUCAAAGUGCCUGUUUUAUCAGAGAGGAUGGUAUCUACUUGGCCCAACUCCUCGUUCAGAUUUGAUGUUCUCGCUUGCGCAGGAAUCCCACUUUCAUCAUCAUACAUACUUAUGUCUUGGUUAAUGAAGAUCGCUUGCAAAAACUUCACAAUCUCAAUUGAAACAUAAAGCGAGAUAGGAAUUAAAUAUCCAUAAAGAAUGAGAGCAGUAACCAGAUGGGCCAGCCCGGGCACAAGGGGCUUUACAGGAUUAAAGUACACAUCAGUUUCCUUGGGUUUUAGGUACCACCACUGUGGUGUUUGGUAAUUUAUCUUCACAGCAAAGCCUAUUGAGCUGAUUAACGAUAUUAGCACAAGAAUAGCAAAAAGGAUGAAUAUUAUCUUAUCCAUUUUUUUCUCAAUUCCGCUCCUUUUUGAAGGAGAGGUUGUUGCAUUCUGCAUGACUUUGCUAUCAUGACCAGUGAAUAUCACAGAGCCAUAGACAUGAGCAGUAUUCCUGAGCUUAGAAUCUCUGAGAAGGAUCUGACUAGGAUCAAUUGCAUAAAGCUCACGAUCGUACUCAAUAUUUCCAACAAAAGUGUAAAGACUCGGGUUAGGAUUUUCACACUUUACUGUUCCUGUGAAUUCCUUGAAAGCCUCGUCUUCAUUUAAAGGUGAAGUUGCCUCCAUUGCUCUUUUCACCUUCAAAUUUGUCUCACCAUCUAAGUUCAUAGUCUCCACAUAACAAAUUCCAUCCUCAUAACUUGAUGACAAGAAAAGUAAAUCAGCUGGAAAAAAUUGAUCCUUCUCUACUUUCACUAUAUCUCCAACCUGAAUCUUCUCCCAUGGCUUGUAACUAAAAACACCAUUCCCAACAUGAACACUUACUUUCCGGGCAUUGACCUCUUUAUCCUGCAUAAAUCUACGCCAAUCUUCUAAAGCUUCCUUUGCCAUGCUUACCCCUACAACAAUUGCCAAGGGAAGAAGCAUACUUACAGGAGAGAAUGGCGAAAGUGGUGUCACUGAAAGAAGCGCAGCAAUAAGGAAGUAAAUAUUGGCAACUCGAUUGAAUUGUUCAAAGAGUGCCUUGGGAAAAUAUGAGAAAAAAUUGUACUUUGUGGUUGAUAUAUAAUUGGUGCAAUACUUCAAGGGUCUUUUCUUGUGCAUAUGAGGUUGAUUGCAAUAUAUAACUCUGGGGCACCCCUGUACUGACCCCUCGGUUUCAUUGACAUGCGGCCUGAGGCAAGCAAACGUAUAGAGCUGGCUCCUUCUGAGUUUUGCCCUAAUCCUGCCUCUUGUCAUGACUUAAAAUUCAAGCUCAAAAGGAGUUAUCUUAGGCACACAACCAUCAAAUAAGAACCCCCAACCUUGCUUUCGGCCUUAUAUUAAUGGUGCCCCGCGAGUACAAUUUCUUCCCUUAAGACCUAAUUACACAGGACCAUAAUGAAAAAGAUCAAUAUGUAUAAUAAAUUGCUACACUUAAUGAAAUCAGAUUAAAGGUCAAAUAGAUGCAUUGACAAAACAUUAUAUCAUGCAAAGCCAACAUCAUAAAGACAAAAAUCAAGUUCAUACAUUAAGAAGCACCAACAUCCCAUUUUAAGGGAAGACAUUGAUAUCUUUCUUGAAUAAUUCCACGUGCUCAGAUUUCUAUAUUCUGUACUGUGUUUAAAAAAGGGGAAAAAAAGUAGAAAAUUACAACAGAAUUACCCAAAAAUGAAAAUAAAUUCGACACAUUCAAUUAUAACCAAAACUUUUAAUGCAAGACAAAAUUCAAAAUUUACAGCUCAAAUCACAAACCCAGUUGCAUAUCCUUCAAAAAUCCAAUGCACUCCACAAAACCAGAGAAAUAAAAAUAAAAACACAAGAUAGUGACACAAUGCCAGCUGAAAAAAAAUGAAAGAAAAAAUCUCUUCAAUCAUUGCAACUCCAGAUUCCUCGAACUACAAAUACCCACCAAUUCAAAAAGACAAAACACAACAAAAUCAACCCACAAAAAAUAUUAAAAAAAUUAACAAAAAUGAGUUUUUUAUAAGAUGGUACCUGCAAUCAGGAGGCUGGUUCAUCCUCAAAACAAAAGAUUAAAGACACCCAUUUUGCCAAAACUCUCACAAAGGGAGAUGGUGGGUUGCAGAUCAAGAGAAGGUCUCAAAUUUGAACGAAACGUAUUAUCUUUUCUUUUUUUUUUCAAAUUGUUUUUCUUUUUCUUUUAGUCUUGAAAGAAGGGAGAAGAGAGAGAAGGGACAGGGUUUUGGACCCCUUUCUCUCUCCUACUGGAAAAACAAAACCAAUACCAGGAAUUUCCGGGGGUCCUUCUCUUCAUUUAUUUAUUAUUUAUUAUAUUUUUACACUCAUUUUUCUCAUUGGAUUUUUUUUCCACUUAAUUAAUUAAUUACCUGGAAUAUCAGAAACUCAAUUAAAUAUUUUCGUUAUUAGGAGGAAAUGAGAACCAAUGUGAUUGAAAAAAUAAAAAUAACAAUAAGUACGUGGCAAGUUCUUCAAACCUUAACUCAUAUUUACCCGCUCAUGUUCUGUCUCUUUUUCACUUUUGCCAAAAAUAGGAUUAUAUUUGGAUGCUUGAGAUUUCGACAAGUGUACUCAUACAACAGAAGUAGUUACUGUCAUUCUUUACAGAUUUUACUUGGAUUCUUUCUUUUUCUUUUCCAUUGAAAGGGUUUUUACUUGGAUUCUAAAAUCUAAAUCCCUAUUUCCCUCUUGGUUCUUUAUAUACUAUUGUGUUGCAAUAAUCAUUUAUGAAACAGUUUUUCUAUGUCCCAAGUGAAAUUCAUUUAAAAUUAUCUUUUUUCUUACAGAGCGUGCAUAUACUGAUAUCAAAUUUUAUUAAAGAAAUCUUUAAUCUCAAAACUUAAGUUAAUAGGUAAAUAUUCUCUCCUUUUAUAUAAAUAAUAGAAUAUUUGAUUUCGAAUAACUCGUGUGGGUCUAGAGAGAUCAAACCAGAGUGCCAACAAAAACAACUCUCCCUUAUAAGAGUAAUGAUAGGCAUCUUAAAUUUUUUAUCUCAAAUGAUGUGGUAUUCAUUAAUUAGUUGAUAACUCUUUACAAAAAUCCAAUGAAUUAAUUGUAUUAUCCCAAGAAAUAAAUUAAUUAAUUAAUGCCUUAAUUAUUUGGGAUAAAAAAAAAUGAAAUAUAUAGCACUACCCCUCUUAUAAUGUGAAACAAAUCUAAUUCUAAAGUCUCUUAGAUCCCGGAGAUCAAAACAGUAAGUUAAAAGUUGAAACGAUUUUGUAAGUGAAAAAACAUACACAAAACCUAAUUUAGUACCAUGUUAAGAAAAUUACUUCAUUUGAAAAGAUUACUUCAACAACCAAUUGAUAAAUGCCACAUCAUUUAAAAUAGUUAUUUGGGGAAAUUUUUUUGAACAUAUGGCAUUACUCCUCUUAUAAUGUGAAACAAAUCUAAUUCUAGAGUUUAUUAUAUUUCAGAGAUCAAAACAAUAGGAUGAAAGUUGAAACAACUUUGUAAGCGGAAAAUCGUACUCAAAACCUUUGCUUAAUUUAGUACCAUGUUAAGAAAAUUACUUCGUUUAAAAGCUUUACUCAUGAAGGUAAAAAAAAUUGAAUAAUAAAAGUUAUUAUCAAAUCCCUUAGCAAGAAUAAGCAAAAUAAUCCCCUAUCCAUUGGAACAUAAUGCUAGAAGCAGGAUUAAAUUUAUGGUAUUUUCACCAGUAAAUGCUGCACUGGAUAACAGAUAUGCAGAUCUGUUCCCAGAAUAUAUCUGCACAGGGAGAGCAUGUUUUGAUGGUCAACUUUGUACAACAAAUAUAUAUAUAUAUAUAUAUGGUUAGAAAUGUAAUCAAAUCACACGGUUGUGAUAGCACUGAUGGUUUAUUAAGAAGGCCGACGUGGGUCCCAAGUUGAGGCCUCCCAUACACCACCAGACGGAUUAAUUAAUCUAGGCACAGCCAUUUUUUUAUUUUUUUUAAUCAAUGAUUCAAUCUUCAUACCUGCGCCUUUGACUUUUUAUUAAAUAAUUUUCACUUUUUUUUUUUUGUUUUUCCAAUUUUUAUAUAGUUGGCAAAUUACCAACAAUGUCGUGUGGAUGUAAGGUCGUCUGAGGACGGCAAAAUUUUUUCUCUCUCAUUGAUUUGUUGUAGCGCAUAUUUUUGUUCCAUUAAUUUCUACCAAAACAUCAUAAACUAAUUAAUUUAAUAAAUGCUUUUUAUUUUUCUAUUUGGAUUAUUUAUUAUAUCAAGGUGGCCUUGGCAGCGUCUCAAGAGUACUGCCUAGAUAUUGAUUACUAAUAAGCUUUUCAGAUUGUACAUGCUUUAUCCAUUCUUGAAACUUGUUGCUAAAGUCAUGGAUUCAAUCAAUUAAAGGAGAAUUUCUUUAUAUAAUUUGAUUAAUAUCAAAUGAUCUGGAGAUUAUUCAUAAUAUUUCGACUACAUAAGAAUUCAUUAUUUGAAAGCAAAAAAAAAAUGUACUUUCUUAAUUGACAAGAAGAGUCAAGAGGAUCAAAUGAUCUCCUCAUAAUAAUAAUAAUAAUUAUUAUUAUUAUCUUAAAUAUCUACAUUAUAAAAUAUUGAGCUAUAAUAAAAUACUCGACUGGCGACAUGCCCAAUAAUGAUUGAAAUUUAAAAUUGUAAUUAGUUCAUGGGUGCACGCCAUGACCAUCACGUCUUGUACCAAAAUCAAAUAUUAAAAUUGAAUAUUAUUAUAAUUAUACUAAAUUAAAUAUUUAUUGUUGUUUCAUGUCUACAAUGUCCUUGUAAUUUAUGCAGUGGGUUGGCGGUUUCUUUCAGGAGACCAAAUCAAUUAUGGGUUUAAAUAGAGAAUUUGGAUUAAGACGAGAACUUAAAGUUAAGGGAAAAGGUUGCCAACAAUCAAUAAUUAAUUCAUUUCUUUUCAUUUGAUUGACGUACGUGCCCAAUAUGCCUCACUAUUGUCUAAUUUGUCUUUAUUAAAUUUUAUCCAGCAUGCACCAACAAAGUGUUGGCUUCAUUGGUAAUGGAGUUCCCUUAAGUAGCUUGACUGAGUUUGCUUCCCAGUUCGAGUCGCAAGGAAGUCGUCUUUGUUGGGAGAACCUGUGUCUCCCGGUUCGAGCGGGGACUUCUAGUCCGGGUUGUGGUACGAGCUUAAAGGUGUCUCUCACAGUUGGGGCCCUCCCCAAAAUAUCUCGUGAUUAAUAUAAAAAAAAAAAAUUUAUCCAGCAUGCAGUCUGUGCAGCGACUUAUUAAUAUUUGCACUUUUUUUAAUUGUUAGAAAAUUUGAAGAAUAACUAUAAUAAUGAGACUUAAUUAAAUGGGUCGGUAGCAGCACGAAAAGCAAAUGACAAUUGUUCAUGGAACAUUCCAAACUCUUUUAACAUUAUCAAAUGUUUUUAGGUGAACAUAUUUUUUUGUGAAUCACCACUGGCUAAUUAAUUAAGGAGUAGUCAUCGGGGUUUUAAAUAGUUUGUUUUGUGAUGCAUUUGUUCGAGCGGGGAUUUCUAGUCCGGGUUGUGGUACGAGCUUAAAGGUGUCUCUCACAGUUGGAGCCCUCCCCAAAAUACCUUGUGAUUAAUAUAAAAAAAAAAAAAAUUUAUCCAGCAUGCAGUCUGUGCAGCGACUUAUUAAUAUUUGCACUUUUUUUAAUUGUUAGAAAAUUUGAAGAAUAACUAUAAUAAUGAGACUUAAUUAAAUGGGUCGGUAGCAGCACGAAAAGCAAAUGACAAUUGUUCAUGGAACAUUCCAAACUCUUUUAACAUUAUCAAAUGUUUUUAGGUGAACAUAUUUUUUUGUGAAUCACCACUGGCUAAUUAAUUAAGGAGUAGUCAUCGGGGUUUUAAAUAGUUUGUUUUGUGAUGCAUUUGUUCGAGCGAGGAUUUCUAGUCCGGGUUGUGGUACGAGCUUAAAGGUGUCUCUCACAGUUGGAGCCCUCCCCAAAAUACCUUGUGAUUAAUAUAAAAAAAAAAAAAAUUUAUCCAGCAUGCAGUCUGUGCAGCGACUUAUUAAUAUUUGCACUUUUUUUAAUUGUUAGAAAAUUUGAAGAAUAACUAUAAUAAUGAGACUUAAUUAAAUGGGUCGGUAGCAGCACGAAAAGCAAAUGACAAUUGUUCAUGGAACAUUCCAAACUCUUUUAACAUUAUCAAAUGUUUUUAGGUGAACAUAUUUUUUUGUGAAUCACCACUGGCUAAUUAAUUAAGGAGUAGUCAUCGGGGUUUUAAAUAGUUUGUUUUGUGAUGCAUUUGUUCGAGCGAGGAUUUCUAGUCCGGGUUGUGGUACGAGCUUAAAGGUGUCUCUCACAGUUGGAGCCCUCCCCAAAAUACCUUGUGAUUAAUAUAAAAAAAAAAAAAAUUUAUCCAGCAUGCAGUCUGUGCAGCGACUUAUUAAUAUUUGCACUUUUUUUAAUUGUUAGAAAAUUUGAAGAAUAACUAUAAUAAUGAGACUUAAUUAAAUGGGUCGGUAGCAGCACGAAAAGCAAAUGACAAUUGUUCAUGGAACAUUCCAAACUCUUUUAACAUUAUCAAAUGUUUUUAGGUGAACAUAUUUUUUUGUGAAUCACCACUGGCUAAUUAAUUAAGGAGUAGUCAUCGGGGUUUUAAAUAGUUUGUUUUGUGAUGCAUUUGUUCGAGCGAGGAUUUCUAGUCCGGGUUGUGGUACGAGCUUAAAGGUGUCUCUCACAGUUGGAGCCCUCCCCAAAAUACCUUGUGAUUAAUAUAAAAAAAAAAAAAAAAUUUAUCCAGCAUGCAGUCUGUGCAGCGACUUAUUAAUAUUUGCACUUUUUUUAAUUGUUAGAAAAUUUGAAGAAUAACUAUAAUAAUGAGACUUAAUUAAAUGGGUCGGUAGCAGCACGAAAAGCAAAUGACAAUUGUUCAUGGAACAUUCCAAACUCUUUUAACAUUAUCAAAUGUUUUUAGGUGAACAUAUUUUUUUGUGAAUCACCACUGGCUAAUUAAUUAAGGAGUAGUCAUCGGGGUUUUAAAUAGUUUGUUUUGUGAUGCAUUUGUUGAUUGAUAAUUCCUUUUAUAUUGGCAUUUUUGUGAUUAUCGUGUCUAUUGGCGAUGGCUAGAAACCGACCCUACAAAUGAUUCUUUCGUGUUUUCCUAGCAAGAAAGUUCAUAGCGCAGCGAUAAUGCGACUAAUUAUUGAGUAUGUGACGUGCAAUUAAAUUUAAUAAAAUUAUCCUUUACAUCUUUUUAAAAUAAAUGAACUCAUGACAUGAUAUUAUUUGUUGGUUAUAUAAUUGAUAUAAUACUUUUAAUGUGUUCAAAAAUUUAUUAUUGGAAACGGUUCAUUUUCAGUCUCCUUAGCCUCUGUUUGAUAACAUCUUUUUAAAUAGUACUUAUUCAAAUAGAGUUUUUGUUUAAACAUUUCAGUUGUUUGGUUGUUAAUGAUAACUUUUAUUACAAAUUAUAAAAUUAAUUUAAUAGAUUAUUUUUUAAGUUAUGUUAUAAAAAAAAUAAAAUCGUUAAAUAAGUCCAAGAUAUUUUAUCAUUUUUACAUUUGAUAAAAGCAUUUCCACCUUUAUUCCGAAAAUUUCAAAAAUUGAGCGUUUGUUAGUAGACGUAAAAUAGUUUAUUUAACCUUAAAAAAUUAUAUUAAAAGUAAUUAAAUAACAACAAAAAUUUUAAUAAUAAUUUAUAAAAUUAAAUAAACACUUAUAAUAAUUAUGAGAUAAGCAACCAGUAACCAGUUAGCGUGUGCGCGUUUGAUGAUUGAAUUCUCCACUACUCAGGAAACAAGCAACGCAUUUUGAAGCACCUUUUUUUGUCAACUUGCAUGGACACGUCGGUUGUUGUGGAAAUUCAUGCUUAGUUACCGCCAUGAUCGUAGGAUUUGAAUUUGAACACGAACCUACGUGAAAAAAGAUAAAAGAAAAGGCAUUGAAAGAUCCUUUUUUAUAAUUCAUUUUUAAUAUUCUCAACGUUUUUUUUUUUUUAAAAGUCCUGAAACGUAAAUAUAGCCAUUAAGCUAAAAUAAAAUUUGUUUAGCGGCACUAGAAAUUUUGGUCCAGGGCAUUAUACAAUAAUAUAUGGUAUUUAAAGAUUAAAGUUGAAAGAAGAUGUAUGGAUUAUUGUCUAAUGAAUCAUAAGUAACAUAGGCCAAAAUAAAUAAGCAUGAUUUGAAGAUCUAAUUUAUAAAGAACCAUAAUCUUUCUUGUCUAUAAUAUAAUUUUAAAAAAAAAUUUAGGUCGUCAUAGAAAGCCUGUCGUUGUUAUUCUUAGGGCCAUUUGAGAUUGUUUUAACUCACUCUAAUUUACAAUAAUUUUGAUAAAUAAGAUGGUGUAGAUUUUUAAAAUUUAAUUUUGAGAAUAAGUUUUAUAAUAAAAAAAUUUCACAUAUAUUUAUCCUUAUUCAAGAAGGAAAUAAAAUGAGAAAUUUAAAGAGAUUAUUAUUACUGUUAUCAAUAAUAUUGAGAUAAUGGAAUAAAAAUAAAAUUAAUAAAAUAAAAUAUUCAUUUUAGUUAUCAAUUAUUAUAAAUGUGUAAAUAAAUUUUAUUCAACAUUAUGUCACUUCAGUCAUUUACAUUCUUAUAGCAAUUUAAUAGUAGGAUUUACAAAAUACAUAUGAUUGUUUAAAAACUAAAGCAUCAUCAAAUUGGCCUUUAAUAUUUCCCACAUUGAUGAUUUUUUGACAGUUUAUUUGAUAAAACAUGGGUAUCCUAUACUUUUGUUAAAGAAAAGGUUAAAAAAUAAAAAGUGAGCUAUAAUCACGGGCAGAAUAAUAUUACAGCUUGGGGGUUUAUUUAAAAAAAAAAAGGUUUGAAUUGAAAUAUAUUCUAUUUAUAUAGUACAUAAAGUUACAUAUUAGCGUUUUAGAUUAGAUUUAUAACUUUUGUGUUACGACCUAUUUAAUUUUGUUGUUUCUCAAUUAUAGCUCCCAUCAGAUAAAAACCUUAGUUCUACCACUGGUUAUAUAUAAAAGUUCAAUUUCGAAAAGUAUGAACAAUUUUAGAUAAAUUAAUUUUACUUUCACAACAAAUUAUAUGAACCAAAUUUAAACAGAAGGAGAGGGAAAUUAAAAUGGGCACUUUUUAAAAUUAUUAAUUUUUCCCAAUGUCGCGCGGGACAGGCCAAUCAGCAAUGUGAUAAUCCUAAGCAGUGGUGGACCACUGCUUUUUGACUACAAGAAGUCUUCUGAUUCAAGUAACGCGUCUUGUGGACCGUCCGAUUUGUUGACCUUUUCUUCAUCAUAGCAGUCUCUACACGUUCCAGCCACUUUGUCUUUGAGACUUUGACGUUCUAGAGUUUCUGCGAGAGUUGAUACAAGGGGAGGGCAAACUGGGGUUCGGACCAGGUUUGAAUCAACCCGAUCAGAUUUUGAGUUAAUCGGGUUAGAAAAAAUAUACGAACUCAACUCAAAUAUGUGAUCCGAUCAAAUCAAAAUCAUCUCUUAGAUUGGGAGACAUGUCAUCUCUCAAUUAUCGCCUAGGAAAAAUAAAAAUUCAAUAAAUUCGGUUUAACAAAAUUAUGGACCAAAUAUCAAUUUUCUUUCAAACAGUAUCGAGAUUAUCUUUAAAAAAUUAAAAUUAUUUAUUUGUUUCUAAAAUCUUUUUUUGAGAUCAUAAUUAUUUUUUUGAUAAUAAAAAUUAUAUAUAUUUUUAAAAACUCUUUUUGUUAAAGUAUAUUGUACGAAUGGUUAAAUAAAAUAUGCGAUUAGGUGUUUUGAAGAAGGUUUAUUUUGCAUAUUUGUGAACUGUUUUAUAUAAAAUUGAAUGUAAAAUGCAAACAUUUCACUAAAUUAUUAAAAAUGGAUAGAUUUUUUUGUCCAUAAAUUAUUAAAAUGCAAACAUUUCACUAAAUAUUUCGUUCAUAUUUCAAAUCUUUUAAAUCCAAUACUUUUGUCUUUUUAACAUUUAUUUAUACAAAGAGGUAUGUGUAUGUAGAGUCCGAUUACGGUAGUCUAAGGGUAUUGAAUCUCAUAAUUAAAGUCAAUAAGUUAAUUUGACCUUUACCCAAUCCAUGAGAUACAAUAUCCAAAUAAAAAGUGUGUUACGUAAUACAAAAAAGGAAAUGUGUCUGUCUGUAUAGGACAUGCAUCUUUUAUGAAAAUUUUACUGGGUUAAAUAGCCCACAGGCCCCGAGCAGAAUAGCUAUCCCCAAACAAAAGGGACCAAACAAAUGAUGAGCUUAGCUACAUGCUCAUUUCAAUGCUAGCUCUAAACGUUGUCUAGAUCUUGAUGCUUAUUGUAUGAUUAGUCAAAAAAAAAAACAUUCAAAUAGACAAAGAACAAAAAGAACGCCGAGUCAAAUUUCUCUCUGUGCCCCCACACAGAUUGUGUGUCAUGUGAGAAGUGUUCUUGUCAAGUGUUCUCUUGCUGUUGCCAGUGCCUGAGAUAUAGUCUGCACUUCUAAAAAGAACAUAGAUGAGUGGCCCAGUUCCUAGGAUUUGAUUAAGUUAACACUUAAAAGUUACAUAAAGCAAAAGUCUCGUACUCAAGAUAUCCCAAAUUAUUGGGUGAUAAAGAGAAUGUUAAAACGUUGGUGUUAGUGGGGUUAGUGCUGUUGGCUUGUGUGGCCUACACAAAUGUAUAUAACCAGAUCUUACUUUAUGCAAAAGCAUUAAUUAUAUGUUGCUUAUAGCCGAAGCAAACAGUGCAUAAAGAUAGAUAAGUGCAUCACCUGCUCAGCCAAAGGGGCCGCUCCAUCCAUGCUGUGGAUUGCUACCUUUCCUGCUAUCACACUGGGAUCUGUUUCAAGUAUUAUCCUGCAGUGCACCAAAGUGAAGUGCGUGAAUAAAUAAUGGGCUUUUGCGACAUAAAAGACGGGAAUCGGAUACCCAAUUGAGAUGUUAAACCCAAAAUUUUUAAGCUGUUAGGUCGUGGGAAAUAAAUACCCUUGAUCCACAAUCUCAUCGAGGCAUAGGAAGAUGAGAUCCAGGUUCUCAAGGGCCUCUCUUUUGUCCACACUGUUCCUGCAUUGUAUUGAAAGGAAAUGAUCAAUGGCUGAACUGAAGAAAGUAGCAGCAAGCAGAAUCAGAAAUAAAAUACCUGAGGAGAAGUGUGACUGCAUCAAAGAAGCCUUGAAGAACAGCGGCUAAGAGGAGUUCAUUUUCAUGAUCACCUCCUGUAACAAAGAAGUGCAGGUCCUGAACAAACUUGUAGACAACAAUGUUGUCCUGGAACAUAACAAUCUCAGCUGCGUAUGAUCAUAAGCAAGUCUUAGGAUUGUUGUCUUGACAGCUAGUUCUGAAAGCGCAACAGAUAAUGUGCGGUGUAUACACGUACUUUUACUUGACAGCUAGUGAUUAUAUUCCACACUAUAUGUGAAUUAAAUGCCAGGACACCUUGAUACGAAACAGGUUGGUUACGGAAGCAUACCUUCCAUUCGGGCAUUUGUCCUCAAGGUCUUUGCGAACAAAGCUUUUUCGAAAGCUAAUUUUGAAUUGUUUGUUGGCCACUCAUCAGAGAAAUACUUGACCGCUACACGUUUCCCUUCAGAAUCUAGAAGAAGAAUGUUUUUCACCGAAGGGCAGCAAUCCUAUAAAAUAUUACAAACCACCGGAGUAUUAGAAUGCUACCAGCAUUCAAUUCUGUCAUUUUGUCAGGCAUUGAAAAGCUUGAGAUCCGACAACCAAGCAUAGAUUAUGCUUUUGAAUUCAUGCAAACGUACCUCAAACGACAUGUGUCUAUUAAUUAUGAGUCAUUUAUGAUCAGCAACACCCUUAAUUGACUUUCUAAAACAUGAUAAUCAUAGUUUAUCUUAACAAAUACACAAAAAAAUACCGCAAGAAUUUCCUUGUAAAUGACGUGGUAAUUCUUUUCUGAAUCUUUGAACUAUCCUGCUGUACGGCCAAGGCGUAUGUACGGUACAGCAGCCUUUUUUUUUUUAAUAAGAAGAAGAAAAUGUAGUUUGUGUUUUAUUCAGAUUAAUAAAAUCCCUCACAUUUCAAUGUUCUUUUUCUUUCCCCUUCAUUUUCUCAUCAAGAAAACAGAGCAAAUAAAAACAGAGCAUGUAUGAACAGAGUAAACAGAUCAGGCACAUUUUAGAUCAAAUCUCAACAACACAACGACGGGCAUAGAGUAAUAAUUUUUAACCCAUGUUAGGUUGUGAAGAAAAUGUAAUCCAGAAUAUUUCGUUUCAUUUUUAUCGGAGAAAGAUCAAUAAAAUUUUUCAAUAUGUAUCCUUUUCCUACAAAUUCUCUGCAACCGAACAGAGUAUAUAAAAACAGAGAAUCUUUAUAGCAGAUCACAUACAGUACAGAUAUAAAUUUUAGAUUAAAAAGAUCAAAAAAGAAUUUAAUGCUGCUGACUAAUGGAAUAUGAGUGGCUUUCAGUUAUAGAGAUGAGAAUAAAAGAGAGACUUACAUCGGAUGCUAAGAUGUGAGCCAUUUUUGUGGAAUUAUGAUCGAGUGAGUGAGAAGAGUUUGUUGUUGUUGUUGAAGCAAUUUAUAAGUUCAUGGUUAAAAAGGGCUUUUUGGUCACUAAGAAAAAAUGACUUCCAUGAGCGUUUUGGUAUCAAUAAAUCCUUUCCAUUAUAUGAUUGGUCAUGUUUGUUGUGAUUAGAAUUUGAACAAAAAUAAAUGAAAAUUCAUUUACCAGUUUGUAUCAAUUCACUCGCUCUUUAAGUAAUUGUGAACCACCUAUUUAGUUACUUAUAAUCAACAGAGGUUAUUUGAAUCUCUCUUAUUAAAUAAAGAAUACUGGCACUCACUUGAAAGUUGAAACUUGUAAGCUUAUGGUUAUAAAUUAAGAAAACGACUUGCCUCCCAUUAAUGCCAAUUGCACUAUAUGAAUUUAUGAACCAACCCCCACCGGCAUUCCUAGGAAAAGAAAAGAGAAAAAGGCCAAAUACAUUCCGUUUGUUUAAAAGAAAUAAAAUUUCUAGCUACUACAACUAUUUUACUAGUCUCAACUAACAUUUUCAAAUAGCCAUGCCAAUCUGAGCAUUUGUACAACAAUAUUGAGAUGAUAAAAAGAGAGAGGAAUUGGAAGAAUCUCUGUUGUUGUAGUUGUGGGUUGAGUCAUUCAUUCAUGGGGUGUAAAUAGAAGGGCCACACUUGCAUUUCCAACCCUCAGGCUCAUAAUUUGCGUACUGAAUACCCAACUGGCUGCGCUGCUUGCUGGUUGUGGGCACUUGUACGGCUUCACAUGGAAUGCAUCCAUAACACUUGUUCUCACAGCUUGGCGGAGUUGAUCCUAUUUUGCUAUCGAAAUUAUAACCCUUCAAAGAGAACAAAACAAAGGUUGUAUUUUGUCAAGACAUUUGUUAAUGACAGACACAACGGAAGAAAAGAGAAGAGAGAAAGAGACAGGCACACCUCUUUUGAGCUCGAAUUUGGGUCUAUGGUGACUGGUAAAGCCUGCGGGCUCUGGCCUGUAACUCAGAAGGCAAUGAAGUUUUGUUAGUACUGUGUUUCUUCACAAGCUAAAGCCGAAGAAGAUUUUUUUCAUAAGGAAAAAUAGGGCAUGGUUGUGAUACUUUUAAGUCAAAUGGCAGCUUAAGAAAGAAAUCAUGUAAAAGUAAUUAAGUUUUGAUAUGCAAAAGGCUAUUUUUUGGUCUAAAGAGAAAAACUAAUAGAUAUAAUCAUUGCCCAAAAAAAUAGGGGGUGGAGUUUCAGCAGAUAUAAGUUAAUUACCAGGUGGAUGACCACCAAUACCAACACCAUCAUUUGGUGCAAAAUGCCUGCUUGUUGCAGAAACCCAACUCACAAUUUGAAUGGCUAGUAACAACAAAAAGCAGCAUAACCUUCUCUCCAUUUCUUCAAGACUUCAAGUGAUGAUGAUUAUGACAAUGAACUUAAAUGAUGAUGGCAGAGGGAAAAAGAGCGAUAGAGAUAUUAAUGUCUUAAAAGCACACAAACUUUACUAGCUGGAUGAGGCCAUGCAUGACUGCUCAAGUAAAUAACCAGGAAAAUGAGAAAAGACAAAACAAUCAAACUCCCAUUUCCCCAGAACCUCUAAAAGUUUCUUGGAUAUCUCCUCAGCCUCUCUUUAACAUUCAUUGGUAUGGAGAUUUGGUUGCUUCACAAGCAAAGUCAUGAGUUAGAAACAACAGUGAGGUUUCCUUCUCAUUUGACAACUCAGCUUGAAAAUACCAAAUGAUAAUCUGCAGCUUUUAUCUUGGUCUUUUCUUUUAGUACAAGCCACUUUCUCUUUUUCUUACUCAAACCAAUCUGAUAUACUCUAUGAGCUGUCCAACUCCGUUCCAUAAGGCUAGAAUAACAGCUCCCUUUUUUGGGGUCUGCCAAAAAAGAAAAGAAAAGGAAAAGGAUAAAAAAAAACCUGCAUGACCAUAUAAAGAUCAGAAGAAAUCUUGCCUAGACUGCAGUGCCUUUUGCUUUUCUCUCAAGACUUAUUUCUAUAAAAGGAAAAAGAAUCCAUUGCUGCAGACUCCCCACUUAUUUAAAAGGAGAAUAAAUGCAUCAAUAUCUGAGACAAUCAGCAAUGCAGAUAGGUUUUAAAUUUUAAUGAGUGAAUUAAUAAACUUAGUAUGGUACUACUUGAGUCAACUUUGUAGUUGUAGAGGCUGGUAGAUCGGGAACACCAGGACUUCGGUUAACUUGAUCAAAUCCGAGCCAUCCAUCAACAUCGGCCAUGAAGUAAUUAAGGAUCAUGGUGGUCCAGAUUGCCUUUUGGGCAUCUGCAGAUGUGCCCAUUUAAUGAGCAGUAGAUCCGAGUACACUCUAUCACCAUGUCAUUUUACUUCCUCUUUUUUUUUUUAUUACAUCACUCAUUACACCGGACCAGCUGGUCCUGGUUUAACAAAAGACAGAGUAGGGAACGGAAGCAAAGUGCAAAGCAUGCAGGAAAAGAAAAUGAGAAGCUAUUAUUCACUCAAGAUCAUCCUAUAACUAUGCAAUUUUUAGGUGUGAGCUAUGAAAGUGAAACUGGAAAGCAAAGAUUGAAAAAAGGAAACCCUGAUAUAACCAUUCAAUUGUCUUCCUCUAGGGUCUUGGCGGCUAGAUUCAGGCAUUGUUAUAAUAGACAAUUUGGUACUUGUUUGUGAGUCAUAAUUUCCACAAUCAGGUGCUUUGGUGUCACCAAGAUGACAAUAAAACUUUCUUUCAGAGGAGGAAAAAGCAAAAAAAAAAAGAAAAAAAGAAAAAAAGAAAAAAAGAAAGAAGAAAAUAAGACGAUAAUCAAGAAAGGAUGAAAUGGGAAGCAUCAAAGUCAGUGGUAAGCAACAACUGCAUCUAUAUCUUCAUCUUUCUCAUUAUUUUAUUUUGUUUUUGAAUAUAUGGUGACUUGAUGUUUGAUUUUCUGCUGGAAAUUACACAUUGACACCUGUGCCUAAGUUCAGUGAUUAGAUCAUUCAAUAUGCUGUACAAUUCCAGUCACUCAGUCAGUGCUCUCAAGUCUCUACUCUCUGGCAGCCUACCAAGUAGUCAACAGGUCAUUUCAAGUCUAUUACAGUAAUACAGGACAGCUCAUGCUUUUAAACAUUAUGGCCAUUGCAAAACUCUUAUCAAGCACCAUUUUGUCCAUGCAAAAUUGGACAGCUCUGAUGUAUUCAUAAUUGCCACAAUACAGCAAUAUAAUUAGUAUGGUCUCAAAAUAGUCUGAGUAUUCCAUACAACUCAGUAUAAAAAGCAAAUACCUGGCUUCUACUUUAAAAUCUCAGUAUAAAUUGCUUAAAGAAUUGAUACUAAGCUUAAAUGGAAAUGGCACCAUCUCAUAUGAAGCAAUUUCAGUGACUAAUGCAACAAAUCAUUCAUAUUCACUCCAAAGAAUGUGACAGGAAAGAUAAAUGGACAUCAAAAUUUUAAAGAGCACACACAUUCUAUCCUGUGAAUGAUAAAAUUUGUACCAAAUACAUAUCAAAGUAAAUUUAGUGAAGAAUACAAGAGAUUUUUCCUACACAAGCUCAUUAGGUUCAAAGUUUCUCUCACAGGCAGCAACACUCAAAGCACUCCAUCCCUGACUUACUUUGAAGACGAAUCAUGACUGCUAGAAUCUUUCUUCUUUGGAUGAACAGCUUCAACAAGGGCCUCGAUCUCUUCCUUGACUCUUUGAAUCACACCUGGCCCUUUCACUUCUUCUAUUGGGGUGUUCUCAUCGAUGUCAUUACUAGUCCCAUGAGUUUCUUUGGUAUGGCGUGGUGAUUUAUCAUGGUGAAUAAUUGCCUCAAUCUCUUCCUUAGCUCUUUCCAAAAUGUUUGGAGCCUUCACAUCUUUUUCUUUAACAGGAAUUGAAAAAAAAAAGAAAAAAAGCAAUGUAAAUUAUAUCAGCUACAAUUAUAGUUCCAACUGCCACAAAAAUUUUACUAGCAAGAUCCUUAAGAAAAAUAUGCAUUUAAAUUCUAAACCUCAACUUAUAACAGUGGUUUGACAUUUUGUAUUAAAGAAUGGGAUCAAAUUUUAUCUACAAAACUCGAUUCUCAUUAAUCAAAAGCUGAAGUUUUUAGUUUGUGCUUGUACUAAAGAUUGAAACUUUCGAUAUUCUGGCAUCGUACAAAGAAAAUGAAUUAGCAUGAAAUGAAAAGCACCCAUUGAACAUGAUUGUUUAUAGAGAAGAUUAAAACAAAUAAUAUCAAAUUUCAUGAACGAUAUGUCAAUUUCACAGUUUUGCAUUAUUAUUAAAGUAAUGCAAUAUUUUCAAAAUAAUUACACUUUUUUAAUUAAACCUUAUAUAAUAAUCAGAUGGAAACUUGAAAUAAAUGACAUAUCGACAAUAUAUUUAUACCUGAUUGAUUGAUUGAUGGGUCUGGUUUUGGUUCUGUCAUUGAGCCUGCAAUAAAAUUUUGUGGGUGUGAUUCUGAUCACUGUUCAGAAUUUUCUGAAAUUUUGAACUCUUGGAGUCGUGGUUCAGCUGAGCUCUUUUUCCUGGUGUCACGUGCGAGACGUGUGGAUAAAGGUGCGGGAGUUGGCCUUUCACACAAAGACCGAAGUGUUGGGAUCAAUAAUAACUCCGGUUUAUUUUGGGCAGGUUCAUAUUUGCAGACCCAUAUUCGAAACAGUAGGUCUUUCAACACCCCUCAAAAUUUCUAACGAAGCCCCUUAACCGAAAUUACCUAAACAACUAAGUGGAAUCAAUUCAAUUAUUAUUUCGAAUGGAAAUUCAAUUAAACACAUAACUAAAUUAUUAUUUUGAAAAACUUAUUACACCGAUCACAUUUCAUAAAUAUUUAUAUUAUAAAUUUUAAUUAAAAUUUUUUUAGAGAAAAUUAUUGUAGCUUGAGCUAUAAAUAAAAAUUAUAUAAAAAGAAAAAAAAAUUAAGAUUUUAGAACUUGUAUGUAUAUUUUAUAAACAAAAACUUAAAACAGUUACUCAUUUUAGGGUGAAUUUUUACGUGGCAAGAUGAGUUAUUGUAAUAUAUGGGUUUUUAUCUUAUAAAUUAAUCAGGGGUGUUUUAGGAAAUAAAAUUCAACAGAGUGGUAUAAGCGGUUUAGGGGGGUGUUUGGAGGUCCAAUCAAACUAAAAAUAACUUGCUCGGCUGAGGCCCGAGGAUCGUUUUUCCUUGGUAGUUUUCACAGAAGUGGAGCAUAUUAGAGUGGAGCUUUUAACAUCCCUCUAAUUCUCGAUAACACUUAUUUUUAGUUUUAUUUUUUAAAAUACCCCAAUUUUAAUUGAUAAAAUACAAAUUCAUAUAUUAAACUUAACUACCUUUUCAUAAAAUUUUAUCCUAAAAAAAUAUUUCUUUUAAGUUUUUAUUUAUAAAAUAUAUACAAAUAUUAAAAUCUUAAAUUGUUUUCUCCUUAUCAUAUAGUUUAUGUCUCCAUAAGUCUAAAGUCUAAUAAUUUUUUUAAAAAUAUUUUUAAUUAAAAUUUAAAAUAUAAAUACAAAUUAUGAUAUGGGGUGUGUAUACAUAAUUUGUUAGAAGAAUAAUAUUUUAAGUGCUUGAUUGAAUUCCCAUUAUAAAAAAAAUAAUCAAUUUAUUUAGUUUUUUAGAUAAUUUUAAUUGAAAAUGAGGCUUUAUGAAGAAUUUUGAGAGGUUUCAAAAGGCCUGUUUUUUUUUUUUUUUUUUUUUUUUGAUAAGGUGAAAAGACCUACACUAAAUCUUGUAUCUACUUGUAACAAAAAACUUGAAAUAGAAAAAAAAAAAUCAUAAAGUUGAUGUCAUUAAUAAAAGUCAGCCAAUAUAUAUAAAGAUGGACUAGGUUUAAGGGACACAAUUUUAGACAUAAUCAUAAACACAUAUUUUUUACCGUUAGAUUAAAAAAAGAAUGAAAUAUAAAGAUUAAAGGACAUGAAUUAUUAAUUACAAUAAUAUUUUUCUCCCUCCUCUCUUUAGUGUUUCAUCUAUAUUUCUUCUUUUACUCAUAUUUUCAUGUUGCUCUCUCUUAUAUUGCACAAUGAAAUAGACGGAAAUAUUAAAACCAUCAAAAUCAAUUUCUUUAUAUUAGUCUCUAAGCUCUUUUUAAGUUUUAUGCAAUUGGAGGAACUGGAAUAGUGGGUGUGCUCUUGUUCGUUUAUUUUGCCCAUUAUUUUUUUGAUAUUUUUAUGCAACUUCUCCGUAUAAAUCCAUGCAAAUCAAUUUCACAUGCAACUUAUGUUCGUGUUUUACGAUUUUGUUUGCUUGAAGUAUAUGAAACGUUUUUUUUUUUUUUUUUUUUNNNNNNNNNNNNNNNNNNNNNNNNNNNNNNNNNNNNNNNNNNNNNNNNNNNNNNNNNNNNNNNNNNNNNNNNNNNNNNNNNNNNNNNNNNNNNNNNNNNNNNNNNNNNNNNNNNNNNNNNNNNNNNNNNNNNNNNNNNNNNNNNNNNNNNNNNNNNNNNNNNNNNNNNNNNNNNNNNNNNNNNNNNNNNNNNNNNNNNNNNNNNNNNNNNNNNNNNNNNNNNNNNNNNNNNNNNNNNNNNNNNNNNNNNNNNNNNNNNNNNNNNNNNNNNNNNNNNNNNNNNNNNNNNNNNNNNNNNNNNNNNNNNNNNNNNNNNNNNNNNNNNNNNNNNNNNNNNNNNNNNNNNNNNNNNNNNNNNNNNNNNNNNNNNNNNNNNNNNNNNNNNNNNNNNNNNNNNNNNNNNNNNNNNNNNNNNNNNNNNNNNNNNNNNNNNNNNNNNNACUUUUUUUUUUUUUUUUUUUUUUGUCUAAACCACGAGAUGGUCAUGAGUGGGCCUCAAUUGUGAGAAGUACCUUUAAAUCCGUACCACUACUCAGACUAAUCUCUGCUCGCACCGGGUCGGCCCAUAAGGGGUAAAGUGCUGGCCAACUUUGGUUUAUAAGAAAAACUUUUUAGAUUUGAUAGGAGAAAGAAACGUGAGGUAAGAGAGAGAAUAAUUAGGGAAAUAAUUAAUUACCGCAUGAUGAGAUCCACGUUAUUUUGUAACUAAUAAUUAUAUCCUCUAAUCUUCACUUUGUUCAAUCUUAAACAAACCAAACGAAUCAAUUAAUCAGAUAAUGAUUUACUAAGAUCGAAGCAAUAAAUAAACACUUAAUGUUAUUAUCCACAAGCAGAACAAUUAAUUUUCUUCGAGUUGUCAGUUUUUGCUUAUUAAUUGUAAUUUAAUUCUAAUUUUUUUAAUAACAGACUAGUUACUUCAAGAAGCUGACAUGUCAUUCUUACUUGCUUCUCACGCAUUCCUCGUUGUGUUUUCAAAAUUUCAAAAAAUGAUGUUAAAAAUGAUGUUUUACUAAACUUAACAAAAAUGAUGUUUUACUAAACUUAACAAAAAAAAAAAAAAAUCAAAUGAACAAACGAAAGUAAUGUGUUAUUAAUUAUUGACUUCUAUUUAUUUAGUUAUUAUUACUUACCAUGCAACUGCUACACUCUAUUAGUCACACCGCCAUUGAAAAGAAUAUCAUAUACCACAUGAAUAAUGGAUUUUAUCAGUUUACCCUUUAGUUAAACCUUAGAAUCUUGUUGUUAAUCUAAUAUCCAAGGACAAGUUAAUCUUUUUGUUUCCAUUUUGGAUUGUAUGUUAAGUACCUUUUGUUUAUUAAAUGCUUCCAAUUGAUUGACUUUCUCAUUUCGUUGAGGUGGUUUUUUGAAAACCGGUUUAUACUAUCAGUGAGAUCUAUAGUUCUGCAUUAUAUAAUUCACACUACUUUACAGUAACGCCCUUCUCUCUUAUCUCUAUACCUGCCAUUCUAGAACACAAAAGUUCUUAAAGAUUGAUUAAGUAAUAAGUUUAAACAGUGUGAUGAAACUUACCUAUAUUAUUUAAUUUGUACGCCAACGGGUGUGGCCUUUUCAAAAGGGCUUUGGAGCCCAAGAAUCAGCAGCUACCCAACAAACUUUCUUCCUAGACAUGUUAACCGAUUUCAUCUGUCAUAGCUAUACAUAUUCAUACCAACAAAGUAGUGUGCUCUUGUUCGUUUAUUUUGCCCAUUAUUUUUUUGAUAUUUUUAUGCAACUUCUCCGUAUAAAUCCAUGCAAAUCAAUUUCACAUGCAACUUAUGUUCGUGUUUUACGAUUUUGUUUGCUUGAAGUAUAUGAAACGUUUUUUUUUUUUUUUUUUGUCUAAACCACGAGAUGGUCAUGAGUGGGCCUCAAUUGUGAGAAGUACCUUUAAAUCCGUACCACUACUCAGACUAAUCUCUGCUCGCACCGGGUCGGCCCAUAAGGGGUAAAGUGCUGGCCAACUUUGGUUUAUAAGAAAAACUUUUUAGAUUUGAUAGGAGAAAGAAACGUGAGGUAAGAGAGAGAAUAAUUAGGGAAAUAAUUAAUUACCGCAUGAUGAGAUCCACGUUAUUUUGUAACUAAUAAUUAUAUCCUCUAAUCUUCACUUUGUUCAAUCUUAAACAAACCAAACGAAUCAAUUAAUCAGAUAAUGAUUUACUAAGAUCGAAGCAAUAAAUAAACACUUAAUGUUAUUAUCCACAAGCAGAACAAUUAAUUUUCUUCGAGUUGUCAGUUUUUGCUUAUUAAUUGUAAUUUAAUUCUAAUUUUUUUAAUAACAGACUAGUUACUUCAAGAAGCUGACAUGUCAUUCUUACUUGCUUCUCACGCAUUCCUCGUUGUGUUUUCAAAAUUUCAAAAAAUGAUGUUUUACUAAACUUAACAAAAAAAAAAAAAAAUCAAAUGAACAAACGAAAGUAAUGUGUUAUUAAUUAUUGACUUCUAUUUAUUUAGUUAUUAUUACUUACCAUGCAACUGCUACACUCUAUUAGUCACACCGCCAUUGAAAAGAAUAUCAUAUACCACAUGAAUAAUGGAUUUUAUCAGUUUACCCUUUAGUUAAACCUUAGAAUCUUGUUGUUAAUCUAAUAUCCAAGGACAAGUUAAUCUUUUUGUUUCCAUUUUGGAUUGUAUGUUAAGUACCUUUUGUUUAUUAAAUGCUUCCAAUUGAUUGACUUUCUCAUUUCGUUGAGGUGGUUUUUUGAAAACCGGUUUAUACUAUCAGUGAGAUCUAUAGUUCUGCAUUAUAUAAUUCACACUACUUUACAGUAACGCCCUUCUCUCUUAUCUCUAUACCUGCCAUUCUAGAACACAAAAGUUCUUAAAGAUUGAUUAAGUAAUAAGUUUAAACAGUGUGAUGAAACUUACCUAUAUUAUUUAAUUUGUACGCCAACGGGUGUGGCCUUUUCAAAAGGGCUUUGGAGCCCAAGAAUCAGCAGCUACCCAACAAACUUUCUUCCUAGACAUGUUAACCGAUUUCAUCUGUCAUAGCUAUACAUAUUCAUACCAACAAAGUAUUGGCUCUACUGGUAAUGGAGUCCCCUUAAGUGGCUUGACUGGGUUUGCUCCCCAGUUCGAGUCGCAGGGAAGUCGCCUUUGUUGGGAGAACCUGUGCCUCCCGGUUCGAGCAGGGACUUAUAGUCUAGGUUGUGGUACGGGCUUAAAGGUGCCUCCCACAGUUGGGGCCCUCCCCAGGAUACCCCGUGAUUAAUAAAAAAAAAUAAAAAAUAGCUAUACAUAUUCAUCAUAGCAUUCUGUUGUCUUUCUUCUUGAAUCUGCUAACAUGUAUUGUUUGUAAAGUCUUCAAUUCCAGAAAGCAGCAGGUUUUGAUUACACCAUACAUGAAAACACAUCUUGCAACUUGUGGGGCAGUAACUUAACAUUUACUAAAUUUAUCAAACUCCAGGCUUCAAAUUCUUGGCAUACAGGCCAUACUCAAUAAUACCCUCUUUCAUAAGAUGAGGCACGAUCGAUGAUCCGGAAGAUCGUGAAAAGAAAAAUAUUAAUUUAUGCCAAGAUGUCUUGGCUUCUCUAAAGGUUUUUAAUUUCUCCCUAAUUUAUUCCAAAUAAUAUAGGUACCAAAAAUUCUUAUACAAAUUAUUUUAAUACAUAAUCAUAUGGCAAAUGUACUCUUGGUUGAAAAUUAUUGCGGAUAUGAUGCUGAAGUGGGCCGUCAAACAAAGACCAAAGAGUCAGACAAUGACAUAAGUCCUUUCUUUUUUGAGCCUAUUUUAGACCGAAAAUGGAAACUCAAAAUGAGUUGCUGGGCCGAGCUCGAAGAUGGGUUUCUCUUUGCAAUUCUUUCAAAAAUUGCAUUAUUUUUUUUUCCCCAAAGGGUAUUAAACUUAUUUUCUUUAGGGUCUGGUCAGAUUGUACGCAUAAUAACCCAUAUGCAAAGGCUUUUCUUGAAAUCAUGACAAAAUUUUAAAAAAAUUUAAAUUGAAAACAACUUUCGUUAUUAUUAUUAUUUAACCUAAAGAAAACUCAAUGAGUGGAUUUCAAACCCAAAUCUGUUGUUUCUAACACGAGAAAAAAAAUUUAAUGGAUAAAACACAAUGUGGAAAAAUACAUGUUACCUACUAAUAUACUACAUUAAUUGACUAAUUAAAACCCUGUUUUAUCUAAUUUGAAUUUAUUUGUUAGUAUGUCACAUUUAUUCUUCAAUAUGCAUCUUUUUAGUAAAUAUUUUAAUGCCAGUGAUGAAAAUUGAAAUGAAGAAAACUCAAUUCAAGCUUUCUCAUUUGAUUUAAUUUCUUUAUUUUGAUGUUGAAGUUUUCUUUUCUCUCUUCAACCUCUUUCUUGGAACUUGCUUCUGUCUUAAUAUUUACUCCUCUCUCUUCUUCUUCUUCUUCUUCUUCUUCUUGUUGGCUGGGCAAGGGGGAAACGAGACAACGUAACAUUUUCCCAGCACACGUAUGAGAGGCUCUACGUGUUUGACUAGUUCAUCCUUUCUCUCACGCGAAAAGGUUAACCAAAAUUUGUAUGAAUUUAUUUAUAUCGCAAAAAAGUUAGAAUUAAUUAAGGGAUAUUUUUGCUAAAAUCUUCAAUCUUUUCACCUAAUUCAUUUAUAUGACAACUAAAACGAUUUCACUAGAAAACAAAAAAUAUUUUAUAAUAAGACAAACAAAAAAUUUUGUCUUUUGUGUCUUUGUGCUAAUUUUUAUAUUUUCUCUUUUUAAUCAAAGACCAAUUACAUUAAGGGGGAAACCUUAGGUGUAACUGUGGUACCGUGUUAAAGUUGUAUCUAAUUGUUGGAUGUCAGUUGCCUGAUCCUACAUUAAGGGUCUAUUUAAUAUUAAGGUUGGAUAGGUACAGUUUGAAAGUUACGGAAUAAAAUUGUUUAGUAAAUAUUUAUUACUAUAACUUAAAGUUAAGUUGAUUUAAUUUCACAUCAGUAUAAUAAAAAAUUUAUAAUAUUUUUAUUAUUUUUUAAAAUUAUUAUUUAAAAAUUAUAUUUGCGCUAUUAGGGAUGAUAAUGGAGUGGGGUGGGGGUGGAGAGGUCUACAUCAUUUCCCACCCCAUUAAAUUUUUUUUGCCUCCAUUCCCCAAUAAAUUUAAUGGGGUGGGGAUAAGGAAUCCCCACGUGAAGACUUAUUUCUCCAUCCCUAUCCCCACCUCAUUCCCCAUUUUUUUUUAUUUUAUAUUAAGUAUAAAUAUAUGAUUUUAGUAAAUUAAAUAUUAGAGAUUUAAAAUAAAAUCAUCACCAUAUUAUAAAGUAUUUAAAUUAUUUUUAAAAAACCACUCAAAGUUUGAAACAAUAUCUUAAAAUGAUAUCAAAACUGAAAAAUAUUUAAACAGAACAACACCUUAAAAAAGAAAAGAAAAUAUAAUAAUGUUUUAGAGUUGAAAAAGAAUUAUAUUAUAGGGUUUUCUUUUAUUCACAUCAUGUUUAUAUUAGAUAAGAAUAAAAAAAAUUUAUUAAUUGACAUUAUAGUUGAUAAAAUAAAAAUUAUUAAAUAAGAAUUAAAAAUAUUUAUAUAUAAUGGGGAUUGGGGUGGGGGUGGGGAAUACAAAACUAAACCUCACCCCGUUAAGAAUUUGAGGAUUAUUUUUCCCUCAUUCUCCAAAAAUUAUUCAAAAUUUUCCCCAUUUGGGGUGGGGCUCCAUGAAAGAUUUUGUCAUCCCUAUGCGCUAUUAACUUUUGUUCAUAGUUAGAGUUUUUUUUUUUUUUUAUAGUAAUUGUGACCUAAAAACUACAACACCUCAAUAACACACAAGAUCUUGUUAGAAAUUGGAUUGAAAUGCUAUAACUAGUGAAGUUUUGACAAAAAAGAUGUUUGGUAAACUUUUUAAAUACUAAUUAUUUCAUAAGUUUUUAUAUUUUGAUACUUUUUUAAUAAAUAGUUUAUUAAAUAAAUCACCAUACUUUUUGAAGUUCUUAUUACAAUCUUAAUAUUUUAAUAAAAGGACUAUUAUAUCUUACUUUUCUAUAUACCGUUAUAUAUCGAUAAAGGACAACUUGAAUUUAUGUCUAUUUUGGUCACUAUUAUUAUAGCAAUAUUUUCGUAAUAAAAUUAACCAAAUGCGCAUACUCUACCUUUCAAAUUCACAGUAACUGCAAUAACAUAAUUUAUCAAAAAUCAAAUUACUUUUUUAAUUAGUAACUUACUUCACCUACACAGUAAAAACAACUUAUUUCAUAACCAUCGCAAUCACAAACUAUCCUUCAGUAUCAUUAUGGCUCCCAAAUGAAAAAAAAAGAAAAAAAAGAAAAAAAAGAGGAUUAUCCCACUGUUGUUUGGAGAAACAAAGUGAAAUCCCUCUCAUAUUUUAAAAUAGGUUCAAACCCCGGGUAGUUAUAAUGAUGUCAUGUAAAUCAAUACUUUAUAUAAUUAUUAGAGAUUUUUAUCAUAUUGUCCCUAAUUAUAACUUGUCUUCACACUUUAGAGUUCAUUAUCAAAUUAAUUUAAUCAUAAAGAGUAUAUAAUUCAUUUUACUUAAAAAAUAUUCUCAAAAUAUUUAAAUUUUAUAACUUACAAGGAGAUUAAGAGUAUAUUUUACUUAAAAAAUAUUCUCAAAAUAUUUAAAUUUUAUAACUUACAUGGAGAUUAAGAUUAUAAUAGUAAAAUGAUAUGUAAAACUAACUCCGUUAUAAGUGCUAGGGGUUUAGGCAUUUUAAAAGAUGAGGGAAUUCUGUUUAAUUUAUCUAAACAACACGGUAAUCCUCAUUUUCCCCAACAAAAUAAUAAAAAAAGAAAAAGAGUAGAAAGCUUGACUUCCAACUUCCUCUCAAAUUCAACCUCGUGCACAGUAGUGGAAGUUUGUAUUAUUACAACUUAGAACUCUGGCCAUUUUAUUUUCUACGUUCAAACAAUACACGUUGAAUAUUUUCUAGAUUUUUAUUCAUUCAAUAUUUGUUGUGUCCAUGAUGCGUAUUUGAAGGUCUCAAUCGUAGUGACCGAGCUUUCCAUUUGUAUAAAUAAAGGACCUGGCUAGCAGAUUUCGUUACGUUCACAGCAAGAUUUAAAGUAAUAUUCAGCAAAUAAUAGUAACUAUUGCAUAUGAUUACUGCGAAAUCACCGACCUUCGAAUUGAAGAACGAUCAUCAGGAGACGAAGCCGAUGAUGGGAAUUAAUAAGAGCUUCAAGAAGAGGGGUCAGUUGGGUAAUGGCAUUGAUGGCGAUCAUCAUGAAUCUGAUAAUAAUUGUAAGAAGCUGAGGGAAUUCGGAAGUGACGAUGAGCUGGUUGAUCAUCACAGAGCUGCAACCAAGCUGCAAAAAUUUUAUAAGAGCUAUCGGACGCGAAGAAACCUAGCAGAUUGCGCUGUCGUUGUGGAGGAGUUAUGGUAUUAUCAAUUGUUUUAACUAAUUAAUUAAUUAAUUAAUCUCUCUCUCUAUAUAUGGAAACGGUCAGUUAUUGUUAGUAUUAUUAUAAUCUAUUAUUUAAUUUUAGGUUUUUGCAUGCAGGUGGAAAGAAUUAGACAGGGCAGCUUUAACGCGAAGCUCGGUGUCAUUCUUCAACUCUGAUAAGGCAGAAUCUGCAGUUUCUCGAUGGGAACGGGCUAGGAUAAGGGCUGCCAAGGUUAAUCAAUUAUGUUAAUUUCAUCAGUUCGUUUAUAAGGAUUUGAUAAACUCAAAAGAUCAUGUAUCUCCUUUGCAUUUUGGUACAUUUAAUUAAUUAUAUAUAUAUAUAUAUAUAUAUUAGGGCAAAUUUACUGUUUGGAAAUUAACUAAUAUCUUAAUUUAUUACUUGAGAAGAUUCAACAGCGCAACCUUUGAAUAUUAAUGAUCCACAAUAUGUUCCCAUUCUAUCUAGCGUUAUUAAAUUUCUGUUUUGUCAAUGGCUGACUUGGUUAAUAUUGUUAACUGUACGCAGCUUGGAAAGGGUCUGUGCAAGGAUGAAAAGGCUCAGAAAUUGGCUCUAAGACACUGGCUUGAAGCGGUCAGUUCACAGUUAUUUAAGAGAAAACAUCUUUCAUCUCAAUAUUAGUUGAAUAUUUUCGAUAAAGAACAACUUGCUACAAAAUUGUUACUUUUUCCUUCUCGUGUUGCUUAGAUUGAUCCCCGCCAUCGUUAUGGUCACAAUCUUCAUCUGUAUUAUGAAGUCUGGUUUGCUAGUGAGAGCACCCAACCUUUCUUCUACUGGUAAGCUAGUUAAAGAAUCCCUUGAUAUAUAAUUAAGGAAUUGAUCAUUUCCUUCUUUAAUUUAAUACUACACAUUUUUAGUUACCUUCUUUGAUUUGUGAAAAUUAAUGAAGGUUGGACAUUGGAGAUGGCAAAGAAGUAAAUGUUGCCAAGUGCCCGAGAAAUGAUCUACAACAUCAAUGCAUCAAAUACCUUGGACCAGUAAGCACAUAUAUACUCUUAACAUAAAUGUAUAACCGCGUACUACAAAUAUUACUUCACAUUUCCAUAUAGAGUGUUCGACGUUUAUUACUAGAGUUACUAAGUCCUCAUUUAAGAGUUGUUACAUUACAUGUAUAUGACCUAUAUAUAAUAUAUAUAAUAAAAAAAAAGUAGUGAUAUAUAUUUGUUAUUUACAAUUGAUCUUGCAGAAAGAGAGGGAAACAUAUGAAGUGGUAAUAGAAAAUGGAAAGCUUCUUUACAGACAAAGUAGGGUUUGUAUAAGUACAGUGGAGGGUUCUAAAUGGAUAUUUGUCCUCAGUACUUCAAGAAAAUUGUAUGUUGGGGAGAAGAAGAAAGGCCUUUUUCAGCACUCUAGUUUUCUUGCCGGCGGCGCCACCAUUGCAUCCGGGAGAUUGGUUGUCCUUGAUGGGAUCCUAGAGGUGUGUGUCUAUAUAUAUAUAUAUAUAUAAACUAAAAUUUCGUUUACAUCUUGUUCUAUGAUAUAGAUAACUUGAUGCUUAAUUUGUUUAGGCUAUGUGGCCCUUCAGCGGUCAUUAUCGGCCAACAGAGGAGAACUUCAUGGAAUUUUGUAGCUUCCUAGAGGAUCAUCAAGUGGACUUGACAAAUGUUAAGGUAAUUAAAAUAAUAUCCCUCUUAUUAAUCAUUCGAGAUGUUCGAAACUAUGAAAGCACUGAAAUAUCCGUACACUAGCUAUAUAAAAAAGAAAAAUUAAAAUUCUAUUUUCGUUUCAAGGCUUUGAGCUAAUAAGUUAUAUAUAGUUGUUGCAACGUCCUACAGCCUACUAGUUAAAUAUGAGAAUGGCUUACAAAUAAUAAUUAAAGGAUAUCUCUAUAUUUCCAUUGUUUGAGGCACAUUGAAUUUCGUGUACGUUAUAAGUUUCAGACAACGUAGCAUCAAUUCACAAAUAUUCGUAUGAAUAAGCAAAUUAAAUCAAGUGUGUAUAUAUUAAGUAAUGUAUGUUACCUUGGUCUCCAUUUUCAUUUAUGCAGAAACAUCCCAUUGAUGAUGACAUCCCUCCAAAAGCCUCCGAUAGUAAGGAACUUAAAUUGGACUCAUCUGCUAAAGUUGAUGUCGAAACAAAGAACGUCAGCACCGCAGCGGGAGCCUUAAUCAAUGAAGAAGAAGAAGACCCAAAGCUGAAUUACAAUAGCAAUAAUAAUGAUGUGGAAGCAGAAGCAGAAGUGUUUGAAAUUGAUGACGAUCAGAAGCCUUUGUCACGCAAAAUAUGGACAACAGGAGCAGGUCCCAGAAUCAGUUGUGUUAGAGAUUACCCAACCCAGCUGCAAUUCCAUGCACUUGAACAGGUCAAUUUGUCUCCAAGACCAGGACCAUCAUCCAUCGCAAGCUCUAGUAUAAUGAAUGCUCCAGUCCCUUCACCAAGACCUAGUCCCAAGAUUCUUCUCUCCCCCAGACUUUCUUGUAUGGGACUUUCGAGCCCCAGUCCUAGGUCAGGUCAAAUUCCUGUGCGUCAAUAAACUUAUUAUUAUGUUUUUAUUAUAUGUAGUAGUUAAUUAAUUACCACGAGUUGACGGGGCAAUUUCAACUUCGUUCAUAUAAGUGGAAGGGUAACGUCAUUUUCCUAACCACUUGACCAAUAAUGUGAAAUAUUAACACGCUAUUAGGGAUACUGUAUACUUUUUAGCAAAAUUUCAAAUUGAUGUAAAUUUCUAAAGAAAAUUUGCUUAUAUGUUCAUCGAAUGCCAUGUUUAUGGAGAUGUGCAUGUUGUGCCUAAAUUUUCAGGUCCUCUAUAUGGCCUUAAUAAUUAAUUUGCCUGCUCCUUUCAUUUAGUUUCUACACACUUAACCUUAUCAAAUUAUACAGAUCAUUAGUUAAUUGUUAAAACGCAUUGGCUCAUUACUGCAACUAUUAUCUUUAAUGAAAGUUAAUAUUUCAUUCAUUACGCACAAGUAUGAGAAUUCAAUUCGGCAGUUUGAUUGAUUAUUUCAUUGUUUCAAUUACUUUUGAUAAUUAAGGCGCACAUAUAGUUUUUAUGGUUGAUUCUCUUAUAAUUCUCUCCUAAUUUAGGCCCCGUUUGGGAUUGCUUUUGGGAGGGUUAAAAGUGAUUUUAAAAAUUUAAAAACUAAUUUUGGUGUUUGGUAAAAAAAAAUCAAAAUUACUUUUGCCAGAAUCAACUCCUCCUACAGUUGAUUUUGAAAAGCAGGGAAGGAAUAACUUUUAGAUUCUGAUUUUGAGAAUCAAUUUUAUCCUUUAAUAUAAUUCCAUAAAUAUCCUUACAAUUAUUACUUAAACCCGAAAUUAUCCUUAUUUAAAUUGGAAAUAAAAUCAAUAUUUUAAUAAUUUUUUAUUAUAAUUAACACACACCUUUCGUUUACUCUAUUUCUUCAUAUUUUGUGUUCUAUCAAAACUUCUCUAGUGCAACAAAGCAAGAUCCAGUAUGUGUUCCAUCAUCAUAUUCAAUAACAGUAAGUGAUUCAUCACCCUUUUCAUACAUAGUCAAUAUAAUUUUUAUUAUAAUAUUUGUUGUUUGUCUUAUUUGGGUUUGUUUAUAUAUAAACAAUUCUAUGCCUAUGUAAUUUUUAUUAUAAUAUUGUACGUGUACAUUUUUAUAUGUAUAAGUAAAUUUCAUCCUACAUUAUGUACAUUUUAAUCAUUUAUUUUCUUACAGCAGUUUAACAAUAAGAUUUACCAAACACCCAUAACUGCUUUCAAAAUUCACAGUACUUUUAAAAAUAAAAUUUACCAAACACUUAACUGAUUCUCUUCACAGCUGAUUAUUUCUACAGCACAGCUAACAACAAUUAUUUUAAAAGCUGCAGCAUUACCAAACUAGCCCUUAAUCUUUUUCUUAGCAAAAUUUAUUAAUGUGAUUGGUGGUUGCUAAAUUAAAAAAUAAAGGUAGUUAAAUCCUAAUUAUAUAUUAGCACUAAAAUAUAUCAGGAGAGGAUCUUAAUUAUAUAUUAACAUAAAAUUUGUAAAAGAUCAGGAGAGCUCAAAUCAGGAGAGGAUCUUAGUCCCGAUUAUAUUUUCAGCUUUCACCACAUUAAAAAAAAUGUAAAUCACACUAAGAAAGUAAAAAUGUUAUUCGUAUAAUUUUUUUAGAUAUAAGUAUCAUUAAUAUAACUAACAAGUUUAAUAAAUUAACUUCACAAUCAAACACUAUACACACCAUAAUCCCAAAGGAUUAGGUCCAUGCCUUUAAAAUUGAUUACGGGCAAAUAUUGGCAGAGUUUCACAAUCAUGGUGCAUUUACUAAAUAAAAAUUGAAAUGGACUGAAAUUAGAAUUGACAAGAAUUGGAAUGGGAUGAAAUGAAAAUGGAGUACAGGAAUUAGAAUAAAUUUUUUAUUUAAACUAUAAUAAUUGGAAUCGAAAUUGACCGUAUUUCCAUUAAUAUGUUUAUUCUGUCUUGGAAUCAAAAUUGUAAUGAGUUAUAUUGUUCAAAUUAUUAAAAAUUCCUUAAUUAACUAUUGUUAUGAUUAUUAAUCUGUAUUUUAAUUAUCAAAUGCCAAUAUUGGCUUCGCCAGGCCAUCGAGAUUCAAAUAUUUUCUUUUUGAAUCUCGUGCAAACGUGCAUUCCAUGCGACCCAUGUAGCUAUCUAUUGGCGCCUUCUGCUGCGGCUUGUGAUUAUUAUUAUUCAAAAUUAUUAUAAUUGAUAAUUAUUGUUAAUAAUAAUAAUAAUAAUAAUAAUCAUCAUCAUCAUCAUCAUCAUCAUCAGCACAUUAGGAACAUUGCCGUAGUCGACAUCAUCACCAACGAUGAAGACGAAGAUUAUGCGGUGAGGCUCGAUUUUGGCAGUGAUCGCGAUGAAGAUAGAAAUGACAAAGAUGACCUUUUUUUUUUUUUUUUUUCCUUUGGAAUUGAGGGUAAAAUUGAGUUAAUGAAUUUUUGGAGGUGCAAAAUUAGAAUUCAUAGGAAUGGGAGACUGAUUCCUCUCCCAUUCUCCAUUCUCAAGAUGGGGUGGAUCCUAUGAUUUUAAUUCUAAUUCAUGCCUCUAUUUUGCGAAAUAAAU